UACUUCUUCCUUGAUCCAUAAGGAGAUCUCUGGCUUGAUUCUUCGUAGCUUCUGCUUCACUGGCUUGGAGUUGGGUAUUGGUGGUAAUUUAUGCUCCACUAUACCUCGGUCUAGUCCCGACAUCUCUUCAUAUGACCAAGCAAAGACGUCCUUGAAUUCGUGUAGGAGUUUGACUAGCCUUUCUCGUUCCUCAACGUCCAUCAUGGUGCCCACUUUCACUUCCUUCUUAUCUUCCUCCGAACCCAGGUUGACAAGCUCGACAGGCUUCUAGUGUGGUUGAAUUUCUCUGGCCUCUUGCUCUACCAGUCUGAGUAGUUCUAGGGGAGCUUCCCAUUCAUCAUCACUGUCAUCUUCCACUUGGUUGAUGGGUUGGUCAGAUCUGGAGGAGGGCUCACCAACAUGGCCCUCACUUUCAAAGUCGCUAUUGGAUCGGCAACACGGGGAUGACGGAGUCAGCUCCCCAUAGAUUUGGUUUUAAUUUUACUGAUUUUUUUGUUUUUAAUGAUUUUCUUUCAGCGUGCAACGAAUAAUAAAUGCAAAAGAGACAAAUUGAUAUGAUCGAAAAGUAGAGCAUUUGACCGUCUUGUGUUGGUGUCAUGACUUUCAUGAGGCUGACCAGUACCGUCCCCUAGACUGGGACUUCCGGAUCCCGAAUGAGGUUGUGGCCUAGCAGUUGCAGUCUUCUCUUUCUCGCUCUGGAGGGUCUUCAGGAUGCAAAACAUCUCCGCUAUCUGCUCUUUCAAGCUAGCUAGUUUAGUCCGUGAAUCCUGACUAGAAUCUGAAGAGUUGGCCAUCUGUCUAGCUCGGAGUCAAGUGUGGUAGGGGUGUUGCGGAUUGUCUGCGAUCGUAACCAUUGGGUAGGAUUUAAGGCCCUUAUGUGACAUACCUUAUGGGGUAUCCUAACGGUGCCCAUAUUGCUUCUCUCUCCAAUAGAGAAACCCAAAUAUUCUAGGCAUUACAAGUGGGACAGACCACACCGAUAAGGCCCAUUAUAUUUGGUGACAAUCUGAAUGGUUCAUCAUGCCAAUACAAGUGGGACCCAGAGUCCACACCGGCAGGGAUGAUGUUCCUUUUUAAUCUAAUGCUCGGGCAUAGAGCACAUACUUAAAUACUAGUAUGAUGUUGCAUCACAUAAAAAAUAAUAAUAACAACAACAACAAAAUAUAUAUGCAAAAUAUAAUACUACAACCAUACAUUUAGUAUUUAUGGGUCAGACUUUCUCAAAAAAGUCCCUAGCAGAGUCGCCAGCUGUCGUGCCCCGAUAUUCGGCUACGCGACCUCUCGAGUCGCCACUACAUUUUUACUGUCAAAAAUGUAGAAAAAUCUUUUAAGCCCAAUUACCUUGUGCUUUUGGAUUUUUGAUAUCCAGGUUCGGAAGUCGGUUACAGGGUAGGGAAGGUAUUAGCACCCCACCCGCCCGCCUUAGGCGGUACCCUAUANCUAGAGAAACUACAUGGAUUGAUAUAUUUUUUAUUUGUUAUUAUUACUAUUAAAUAAAGGAACACCACUUUAUUAAUUAAAUUAAUUAGUUAAUGGUUAAUUACUUGAAUAAAAAAAGAUAUUUUUAGUUGUGCCUGACAAGAUUGACUUUGGUCCUACGUAUCCCUAUUAAGGGAAUCAAGGCUUACGUAGUUCUUUAUGUAGAAAAAGGAUUGUUGGUUGGGUUAAUUUUAAUAUAAAAAUAUAAGUUAAAUCUCGACUAACGAUCCUAUGAAUACUAGUGAAGUACAGCCCAUACGUUCGAUACCGCACUUUGUACUAAGGGUUAGUCAAGAUCUUAACAUGUUUAUGGACAAAAGAUUUUUGAGUCGUUGGUGAAUUAGUUAUGGUGAUUAUUAAGUUGAUGAAGUGCAGCCUAUAUGUCCGACACCGCAUCAUAUCUUAAAAUUAGAGUGAUUGUCGUCUUAGAAUUUAUAAUGACUCUAUCAUAAAAAAAUGUAGUAGUUAUUUUAAGGACAUUGUUAAAAUUCAAAAGGUAUAAGAUACUAAUAAAAAUGUGAUUUAUUCCAAAAUUUUAAAAACUUACGCAUUGUAUUUUGUAUUUGGCUUUCUCUAACAUUGCAUAUAUUAAAAAUUGGAUACUCAUUAAAAUGAAUAGAAUAAAAAAAACAAAUAUUAAGCGACAUGGCAUCAACAUAACAUAUUCUAUUAUUAAUACCUAUACUAGAAAUAUCAUAAUGAAAUUAAUUAAGUGGUACGCCAAGGAAUGCAAUUUUUACCAUGUAAUAGAAUUGGGUGACCUUAUUAUAUAUUUAUUUAUUAUUCUUAGCCUUUGAAUAGCAGCAAUUAAAGGUUCAUUGUAAAAAAUGGUGAAAGAAAAAAACAACAGUGAAAAUUCAUUACAAUGAUAGUCCCAGUUAAUUUUUAUAUUCAAACAUUAUGUUCAUGAAGUUUUAAUUGCCUACACAUAAUUAAAUUUUGUAUUAUUAUGAUAAUUAAAAUUUUCAUGAUAUAAUAUAAUAAUUUAUCGUAUAUAAUAUAACAUGAUGAUAUCAGUGCCAAUAAAGAACAGCAAAAAAUGCAAACCUGAUAAGUAAUGAAUAAAAUCCAGCAAAAACAAAGAAACAUGCGUGGCAGGAAGAGAUUGGAGGGAUUUCUUUUAUUUCCCAACGCCUGGACACGUGUCAGCGCCUGGUUGGGGGAGAAAGAGGGUGCACUGGUUGCACCGUGCGCCUACCUAUGCUGGAUCCAGACGUUUGGAUACGUCCAGACACGUGGCGCUAGGAUAUUGGACGGAAGGACGAGCUCACGGUUUGAGCAGUGAGCAUGGGUGCAGGGGAACGGUGUUCUCCUCGGACAGGGAUCCGGUGCGGCACUACGCAAUGAAACCGGGAUGCGUUUCCUCCUGUGAUUGGCUGCUCUUCGAGGUCAACCCACUGAUAGAGGAAAUACGCAGAUCUAACGGCUAUGGAUCGAGGAUGCAUGGAUAAAUGAUGAACCCACCCACACAGGAUUGAUUCUCACAGCAAUUUUUUCUCUUUUUUCUCUUUUUUCGCAGAACACGUUUGAGAGGGUUUUGGGAGCUUUUUUGGAUGUUUUGGGCAGUGUUUCAAUAAUACUUUCUUGUCCUUUAACCCUCUCCCUAAACCACUAUUUAUAGAAAAAAAAAUCACACCAAAAUCCCUAAGAAUUUGCCUACCCUCUUUAAUUUUUUAAUAAAUCAAAUAUCCCUUUUUUAAAACCCCAAUCAAAUUGAUUUGAUUUCCCAUUAACCAUGAGAUUUGGAAAUUGAUUUCAAAUCUGAAAUUUGAAAAUGAUUCCUUAUUAGUUUGAAUUUAAAAUCUUUUGAAAAUCUUUUUUUAUUUUUUUUGUUUUUUAAAUUCGAAAAUAAAAACUUUUUUUUAUUAUUAUUAGUUAUUAUGACAUCCAAUUGUGAUUUUAAGCAUGCUAAAAAAAUUCCGAAAUUUAGUUUUAAAAUAUCUUUCACCAUCUUCUAAUUAUUGAAAGCUAUUUCGAAAAAAUUUAAAAAAAGAAAACAUUUUUUCUCCUACCUUUUUUAUAUUCUUUUUGUUUUGCUAUAUGACAUGUGGGCCUAUGGUGACCCAAACAUUAUUUUAACAAAAUUGUUUUUAGUGCUUAGAUUUUGUUUGUAUUUUCUUGAAAUGAAAAACUUAUUAUUUGGAAAUGAAUUGAGCUUUUUCCUGCGCCGGACAAAAAUGGGUGUUCACAGUGAAAUAGAAAAACAUUAGGAAUAUUGAUAUUCAAUUUGUUUGGUUCAAAAUUGAUGAAUUCAAAUAACAUCAAUUGAGAACCACAUAGAUGUAUACAAUUAUAGCAAAUUCAUUAGCAUGUUUUAGUUGUUGCAUGAAUUCUAUUUGUGGGCAAUAAAUAACCUUAUGGUUUGAAUUUAUUAAGUUGUCAUGGUGUUUGGGCGCGUAUGCUGUCUCCUCGAGACCCAGACGAACAUGAAUUCUGGAACGUAUGAAGAUAGUUAGUUACUAAAGUUUUCCAAACCAUGCAACAAUUGGUUUAAUAGUUACAUUGGUUUGUGUUUCCUCUGUAAAGCCAUGAGUCUCCUAAUUGAUACCCACUCCCAACGGGUUUAUGGUUGGCAAUAAAUUUGUUAAGUUUAAGUUGGCAAUACUAUGUACCAAUUGGCAAGUGGUUGCACUGGUUGGACUAACAUAAGUCCUGUGCAUAUGGAAUUUUACGUUACCAAACUGUAACAUAUAUUUUACAUGUUUAAAGUUUGUAACAGUCGGUCUUUUUUCAUAUCAAAAAGGGUGAUAUUCAUGUUAAAGUUUUGAACACAUUGGUUGCAAGUUAGAAUCAGAAAGAAAGGGUGCAUUUGUUGGAUUUUAUUUUUGUUGUAAUUUAUACUUUUAUAUCUAUACUAUAUUUGAAGCCAAAACAUAUCAUAACUACCUACAUGACAUAAUUUUCACUUACCUAUUUUGCCCUUAUUAAUUAAGAAUAUUACAAUAUUUUUCCAUACAAUAAAAAAUAUCAAUGAAGGUUAGAGGAAGUUACAUCUACUAAAUAUAUCAAACUACCAAUGCAUUUUUAAAUAUCAUGUACGAAAAAUUAUAAUAUCAUGUACGAAAGAAGUGAUAUAAUUCUCUAAAAUGAAAUAUAUAAGUUAAAUAUUCAAUACGAAAAAGUAAAAAUGCGGGUCGGCAGACACGGAGUGACUGCCGACACGCUAGUCUAUACUAUAUUUAAAGUCAAAACUUGAAAUAACUUCCCUCAGAAAGUAAUUUUCAUUUCCUAUAUUGCCCUUAACAUUAUUUAAUUUUUACAAAAAAACUAUAUAAUCCUAAGCAACUACCACCAAUACAUUAAUUAACCACAUAUCUCACCUUAAAUUAAACAUUAUCAUAAUCACAAAAAAAUAUAUAAUAUAAAGUACACCGAACAAAACAAAUACAUUUUAAUUCAAAAAAAUGAAAUAUAUAAAAAUUGAAUAUGUAGUGUCACACAAUAUUCGCCGGCAGGCACGAAGUGUCUGUACACACUAGUUAUUAAUGAAGGCAAAACUUAAAAUAACUUUCAUGAAUUAGUUUAUGUUUUUCAAUUUCUUAUUUUAUAACUUCUAAUUUUAUUUUAUAACUUCUACAUUCAUCUUUAUAUAUAUUAAUAUUAAUAAACAUUAAAUAACAACCAUAAAGUAUUUUAUAUAAAUUUCUAUAUUAAUACUAAUAAAAAUUAGAAAAACAUAAAAUAAUUACCUUUGAAAUAUUUUAUGUUUUCAUACUUUAUCUUAUAUACUAAUAUUAAUAAACAUUAAAUAACUACCAUGAAGUAUUUUAUAUAAAUUUCUAUACUAAUACUAAUAGAAAUUGGAAAAACAUAAAAUAACUGCCCUUGAAAUAUUUUAUGUUUCCCUAUCAAUUAUAAUUCCUAAUUUCAUGUUUAUCUAUACUAAUCUUCUAUACUAAUAGAUAAAGAGAAAAUAUAAAAUAACUUCCAUGGAAUAAUUCUAAUUUCAUGUUUCUAAAUAUUAUAUCUCUCUUAAUGUAAAUUAAUGCUUCAUUUAACUAGCACAUCAAUUCUUAAACCUCUAAUUUCCAAACUGAUAUGACAUUUUCAAUGGAUAAGUGAAUUAUAUUGAUUAUGACAGUAAAUUUGAAAUGUGGAUAAAUUACUUAGCCAUAACAGUUUAUUUUCAUUUUUAACUUCUACCAUAUAUUGCAUGACACGCUAGUUAAAAUAAUAUCAGAAGUAAGAUGCCCUGGAUUCUAACUAAGAAACACAUGGUUGAAGAGAGUUAUGUUACGACUAGGCUGCCAUUAUCAUGCUAUUAAUUGACUCCAGAAUGUAAUUAUAUAAUCUGGAAAUAAAUAAAAUUUUGGAUCAAUCCCGUUCUGAACUCAAGUAAUGGUUAAGUGAUACCUUUUUGGAUUACAAAAUUAUUUGACAUUUUAAGUAAACCAAUUAAUGUAAGAAGUUACCGAAGUAAUACCUCUUAUGUAGAUUGUUCAUAAUAAAUGUUAAACAUAGUGUGUAUAUGUAUCUAUGCGAAUAUUAAUCGGCCCAAAGGAAGAUUAUUGUUUGGCCGGAUUAUAUACACAUAUGUGAUGGUAAACAUGUGAUAAUUAUAAGGUUGCAUAUAUGAAUAAUAAAUCAAUCCAAAGAAUGAUUUAUUAUUUGACAGGUAUUAUUAUCAAUGUUUGACCAUUUCAAUAAGACUACCAUUAAUUGGCCAUUGAUAUGGAAUUUCAAGCCGAUUGUAUGUUUGCAUUUUAUGCGAAUAGUAAUCGGCCCAAAGGAAGAUUACCAUUUGGCCAAAAUUACAAACAUACUUGUGGUAAUAAAUAUGUGAUAAUCAUAUGGUUUUCCAUGUGAAUAGUAAGUCGGUCCAAAGAAAGGCUUGUUAUAUGACGGGACUGAUUAUCAAUAUUUCAUUACUACAUUCAGUGUACCACUUACAAGUUAAUAUUUUUAUCCAAAGACCGAAUAUUAAUGUUGUACUAGGUAACUAUGGUGUGCCCCCACCAAUAUUUGAAUUCUCUGCUUUUAUAAUGUCUUCACAUGCAUAUUCUACAGUUUUCCUAAAGGGCACUAACUUUAAGAAUUAAGGAGAGAACAUUGUGUUUGUUCUCGAAUGCAUGAAUCUAGACCUUGCACUUUAGAAAUGAACAACUCAUUAUUUUUAAGGAAGUUCCAUUAAGAAUAAAAGGAACUAUGAGGAAUGAGAAUGUUCAAAUAGUAGGAGUCUUAUUUUCAUUAGGUAUGCAAUUUCAUGAACAUUCAUGGGUGCAAUGUUUUAAGAAUUAAUUUUAGAGUUAAAGAUAUAUAGUAGAUUCCUUAUGCAUUGGCUAAGUGAGUCUAAUGUAUAUAUAAAGUUGUGCACAUCAAGAUAUUAUGUACUUUGUUAGAAUGCAAAUGUUUAAGAAAUCCAGUAACCAAUAAUUUGAAGGUAAACAAUUAGGUUAUUAAGUACUUAUAAAGAACAAAUAAAUUAUGUUCUCACAUACAUAAAGUGAUUCAGCUAGAGAUUAUUAUGUAUUGUUAUUUAAUAUUGUUAGAUGUCAACACAGUUGAAAAUUUAUAUCUGUCUAUUUGGUGGAUGAUGAGCUAUUUUAGAAAGUGCUAAGUAGACACUUAUAGCUCAUCUAUUGUGGUAGCAAUUUAUUAUAAGACAUCUAAUUAUGGGAUGUUGCUAUACAUUGUCACUUGGUUGCUAAUUUGGAUAUAUUGAAAGACCAUUACAGUUAUACUAUGACAAAAAGUUAGCAUUGCUAUAUCUGGUUUAAGGAAAUAGUUUAGAGUGGUCUAAUGUCUAUGGAGCAUAUUGACACAAACUCCAAGUUUCAAAUUUGCUCACUAAAGGUUUAUCAUCUAAGGUCUUUCACAAGUACAUUGCGCAUACGAAUAAUGUAUUACUUGAAGAUAUUUCGGUUCAGUGGGAGUUUGUAUAUGGGUGUUUUUUCGGUUUAUAUAUAAAGAUCAAUAGUUUUUUCUGCAGAAUAAAGUUUAUGGUUUAGUUUCACUCUGAAAUUUAUUUAUGAGAUCUCAAUAAAGUAAAGAAGGACCAGUUGAAAAUUGACAUGUAUAGAUCACCUUCAUGUGAUUUUCAUGCUGCACAUUUCAUGAUUGAUAUAAUGUCAUUCAGUUGUAUUAAUAUUAGUGAUCAUUGAUUGGUUUAUAGUUUAUCGCUUUGGUUCUAUAUAUUAAUAUAAUUAAUAGACGAGACAAGGAUAUGUCUCUGGUUUAUAAUGACGUAUUUUUGAGCUCAUAAAGUCUAACACAAUUUGUAAAAUUACAUAUGAACAGUGGGAGAUUAUAAGAACUUUUGGGUCACAAAUGUAAUGUUUAAGUGUGAUUAGAGUCAUUAUUUUAUGUAGCCAAAUUAAAGUGGUCUAGUUCAUGUAAGGUAUAUGACUAUAGACAUAACUAUUAUGAACAUUAUUGUGUAGAUACCUAAAGUCUUAUUUCUAUUUUUAUGAUGGGCAAAAAUAAGAAAUAAGAAAGUUGAAAAGACAUUACUCUUAAUGAAAGGGAAUGUUUGUCUUAUAAAUAGGGGUUAUAGUCCCCAAUUGUAGACAACAGAUAACACAACAAAAUUAACACUAUUCUCUUCAUCCCAUUGGAAGAGGAACUAAAGACUAAGGGUAGUCUACAAUAUGGAAGGCCAAAUAACCUACAUAUUCUACUAUAUGUUCUACUAUGAACAUGCAUUUUCUUACAAUGGCAAGGACGUGGAGUUGAUAGAUAUAUAAUGCUAAGAUUGGUAUAAGGUUCAUUAACCAUAUUCUCUAUGAAUAUAUUAAGGUACGCUUCCGCUAUAGUAUUUUUAUUUAUCUUCUUGAUGAUUUGACAUGAAAGAUCUUGACAAUAUAUGAUGAUAUUACUCAUCAUCUUUAGUAUGUAUUAUGUAUUUUAAGUAUAAAGUCUCCCGCCAAAUAAAUGGGUAAUAUCCCAAGGUCACUACACUUUCAAUUGUGUGAAUAGCCAUAGGCUCUCAAGUAACUGCAAAUAAUUCUCCUUCACAUAUGAAUUUAGUUGUGAUCACUAUCACUAUGAUAAGUCAAACAUAGACAUUCCUUACUAAUUAUAAUAGUCUAAUAAUAGUAUAAAGUCGUAUAAGUAAGUCAUCAUUAUCAAAUAUAUAAUCAUUUAACCAAGACACAAUAUUUUAAUAUUCAUGACUAAAAUGAUUAAAUGAGGAAGUCCGUAAUAAUCAAGACAAUCGAUCCUUCAUUAAUCAUUUUAGUCUAAGGAUCCUCCAAAUAGUGAGUAUCAUUGGAGACCCCAAUGCUAAGUUCUAAUACCACUAUGUUCAAGCUUCUCCCUCACCUGGUUUUACGUAAGCUCCUUGUCCAGUAAAUAAAAUAGCUCUCUAGUUGCCUCCUUCAACUUUAGAAUCUUCUCUUAUACACAAGCCAACAAUAAAUAAGACAACAAAUUAAAUUAUAUUCUACAUCUACAACUAGCAACCAAAUUAAUAUAGACUAACAAUUUAUAUUUGAUAACAAUUCAGUUUGUAAUAAAAUGUUCAUACUAUCAUUAAGUUUAAAAAAACUGUUAACUAAAAUCACUUAAAUACAUAGUACUAUGGGGUAUAGUUUUUUAUAAGACACUUACUGUGUGCGUGAAGGAAAAUUUUGGAAAGAUUACUACUCAUCUCACUUAGGCAAAAUAUAUGAAUAACAGUAAAGGGGGCGUUGUUGUAAUUGAAAUUAAAUGAGUGAAAAUAAAAUAUAUACCUGGAUGAGUGGUAGAAACAAAACCCACUCCUCAAUUUCCUAAACAACCUAUGUGAUUUUUCUAUGAGAAGAGGGGUUCAAGAUUUAUCACCUAAACAUUCAAAAAGAAAAGCCAUUGUCUCCAUUGAAGCAACACGAAUAAAGAUUAACAAAAAGAUGGAUUAAGAACCCUAUAUUUUUCAAUAGGCAUGAUAAAGCAAAAUAAUUUAUUGGUUAAAAUAAACACUAUCUUAAGAUGAGAUCAUCAUAGAAGAAAGGAAAAGGUUUGUGCCUAUUUCUUUAUGUUUCUCUACUGCAAGGAUGGUUUGAAUGAUGAGAGAAGUUUCUUUUCUUCUCUCCCCACUUUCAAUAUAUUUAUUGGGAGUUGCAAUUUUAGGUUAAGGUUCCACCUAUUAUAACCUUUAACACUAUUCCCUUAUAAUAACUAAAAACUCUAUCUUAAUAGUAAAAAUAAAUUAAUCACAAGGUAUAACAACAUAGUCUAUCUAGAUAAUUUUUGAGAGAUAACUAUGAUAAUAAUUAGGGGUUGAAAAAUAUAUCUAUUUGCAAAUUAGUUGGAAAAUUUGUGUUGUUACACGGUUUGACCUCACAACGUGCCUACUUGGAUGCCACACCAUUCGUGAUUCUGGUCCCAGACAAAGUUUUGCCCUAUCCAAGACUUCCUUCCCUGUGAAGACACAAAAUUCUCUUUUACGAUGAUACUAACACAUCAAGAGAACCAAUCCUUGUUUUUCACAAUGUUUGUCGAGUUCUCGAAGCACACUUAAUGUGCGAAUAUAAACUUUGAUCUCGACUCUUUAAACCUCUACAGAACUCUCACAAGAAGCCUAAACCUAAAUUUGAUGUAAUGUAGUGAACUUCAAUGAAUGAAAACUAUAGCACUUUUGAAAUUUAUGUAUCGAGAAUCUUGGUUUUCUUUCUCUCAAUGAAAAUUUUGAAUCUAAUAAUGAUGCACAUGAGUUGAAGAAACAUUUUUUAUAUGAAACUGAUUUUAAUUGAUGUUAAUCAGUUAUUUACUUACUUAAUCGAUUAAUGUGUGUAUGCAAAAUAGUUUUUCAGUUAAGGCUUAAUCAAUUAUCAAUCUCUUUAAUUGAUUAAUAAGCGAGAAAUUUUAGGAAGUUAGCCAUUGUAACUCCUUUUAAUCGAUUACACCAAACCUUAAUCGAUUAACGGAUUUCAACGAGACAUAAUAGAUUAUCAAUCAUUUUAAUCAUUAUAAAAAUGUUUUUCAUUAAUGCAUGGUAGACACUCUAUAUGGUGAAAGAACAGGCAACACGUGAUUUUGAAAUAGAGGCUACUUUUAUGCACAAAAACCAUGUAUGCUUAAUGCUAAUGCAUGAUUCUACUUAUCAUAUUUAUUUAGAUGUAAUGCUUCAAUCUAUAUGAAUUUCAUUUUAAACUCUUGUGAGACUUCCACCUAAGGUUUACCUAACCUAGACUAAAAACUAGGCAAUCAUCUUAGGACUUCUAGAAUAUUAAAAUAAUCUUAUGUCUACAAUGUUGACCUUGAGUCUUUGGCAUGCUGUUUGUUGUGAUUUUCCUCUCUUCAAGCUUCCAUUUAACUCCUUGUCUUCAUCAAAACUAAGUAGGUCAAUCAUAACGACAACCUUUGAAUAUUUGUCAUUUCAGAAGUUAAGAGUAGUUUUGACAACUUUGUCCCAAGUAAUAUGAUUCGAAUUGGAAGGGCAUCUAGAAUUCAAAGACCACUAUAGAUGAAAACAAGAUUGACAGAUUUGAUGUACGCAAAUCCCAUUGUAGGACUAGAUCAUGAAGAUUUGAUGUCACUGCAACUAUUGAUAGAUCCAUCAAAUAUCCAUUGGGUGUUGUAGCAGACAUGCUGGUAAGAGUAUAUAAAUUUCUAAUUUCUAAUGAUUUUGCUAUUAUCGAUAUUUUAGAUGAUGUAGAUAUUCCCCUCAUUUUAGGGAGACCUUUCAUAAGAACAACAAAAAUGGUGAUGGAUAUGAAUGGUGGAAAACUAACAGUCAGAGUCAAAGAUGAUGAAAUUCAGUUUGACAUAUUUGAGGUUUUGCAAUAUCCAAACGACAAGGUGCAAUGCUUAAGAACUGAAUUACUUGAAUAAGUUUGCUCAUAACCAAGAAAAAAACAACCGUAGUUUUUUGAUCAUUUGGACAUGGCCUUGAUUAAUUUGUACUUUCAGUACAUGGAGGAAGAAGAGAAGAAAAAUGUGAGGAGUUUUUUAAAACUCUUGAUGCAUGCUCAACAAACCUUCCAAUUUGGAACUUAUCAGCACAUAGAGGUAUGACAUGAUCUCAUUUAUAUAUGAUUGCUUCUAAACCUGAUAUAAUAUUGAGUAAAAAAAAUUUUAAUGCAUAUUUUCCAAGUUUAUUUUCAAUUAAAGACGAAAUAAAUGACGAAAAAAUUGACCCAAAUGAAUUUAAUCCUAAAGACAAAGACAAAAAUGCAAGAAAUGACCCAAGUUGGCUAAAUCACGUUGGGCAUGAAUCUAGGGGCAUUGGGCAUGGUAACUAAGCUUCUUGGCAUGAGGAAACCCUUCCAUAAGGGAAAACCUAGUUGGGCACCCCACAUUACCAACUAGGCAUUCUGACACACAACAUGGACCAGACUGGCGCAUUACGCAGGUAGCUUGACACAUAGACUUGUGCAUGAUGCAGGGCAAGACUGCCACAUCAGGCUGGGUGGCUAGCACAUAGGCUGGGCAACUGGCACAUAGUUGAAAACACUCCUGACUGGGUAAAAUAUGGCAUUAAGCACCCAAAAAAAGGAAUUGGUGCCCAAGCCAAAUUCCUAUAAAUAAGGCAAUUACCCCUUCACCAAAAUAUCAUUCAUAUUUCAAGUCUUGUAAUUCGCCAUGUACUUAUCCUUGCACAUAUUUUCUACCUAGAAUCAGAGAGAAUAAUAGUAGCAAAGGUGAUAUUUGAGAUCUUGUUCUCGGGUUUUAACUUGGAGCCUAAACUAUCCAUGUUUAUGGACGACUUAUUCUCUUUUGUUGGAAUUGGAUAUAAAACAUUCUUUAACUUUACAUAUCUCUCUUGAUUUCUUUACACAAGUAUCUACUCUUUAAUUUUAAUGAUACAAUCUUGUUCUUAAUGCUUAUUUUAGAUUGAUCACUGUCGUGCCCCGAUUUUCGGCUGCACGACCUUUGUUUAGAAUCGCCACUACAUUUUAUAGUUAAAAAUGUAGAAAAAUCUUUUAAGCCCAAUUACCCUCGGCUUUUGGAUUUUUGAUAUCCCGGUUCGGGAGUCGGUUACAAGGUAUGGAAGGUAUUAGCACCCUACCCGCCCGCCUUAAGCGGUACCUUCAUUAAAAUGUAUGACUUUAUUGCUAUUAUUAUUAUUAUUUUAUUAAAUUAUUUGAUUAAUUAACUAAUUUUUAUGAAAUAAAAAAUUUACUUUUAUUAUUGAGCCUGGCAAUAUUGACUUUGGUCCUAGGUACCCCUAUUAAGGGGAUCAAGGCUUACGUAGUUCUUUAGGUAGAAAAAUAUUUGCUGGUUUAGUGUAUUUUAAUUAAAGAAAAUAUAUUUUUAGUCAAAAAUAUUUCUUGUGCAUGUUUAUUUAUUGUUGAAAAAAGUUUCUAUUUGGUUAAUUUUUGUUAUUUAGUUAAUUAAGAAAAUGAAAUUUAAUUGAUUUUGAGAUUUAAUCGAUUGAAAAGAAGCAGCGUAGCGCGACCUUUCGAAGAUGAUCUGAGAAGAAAGAGGCCUCCAGAGCGACCUUCUCUCUAUCUUUGAUUAAUUCUCAAAAUUAUUUUAUUUUUUGAAAAGUUCUUAUUGUUAUGUUUUAUUUAUGAAAAUGUUCAAUGUUUUAUUAGUCACUUCAAAUUAUUUACAGAGAAUAAAUAAUUUAAUUAAUUACUAAAAAAUCAUAAAGAAUUAUUGGUUGAUUAUUAUUUACCUUUUGGAAUUUUCUUAUUUGUUGUUAGUUACUUAUCCCAUAAUUUAUUAUAUUAUUAAUUUGUUACUGUUAAUAUUAAUUAUUGUAUAACAUUUAAUGAAAUAUUUAUUAAUUAUUUACAAUAAAUAAAAGACAUUUAUUUGUUAACAACAUUGUAUAGUUUAACUAGUAAGAAAAAAAAUAGAAUUGUUAAAAUAUAAUACCUAAUUACCUUUAGAAGUGUAGAGAGUGCACUGUUGGAAUUGUGCUAGUGUGUGGUGGUUAUGUAGAGUGCAGGACACGUGGCAGAGCAUGAGUAGAUGGAGUGUUUCACACUUGGUCCGCCUGGGACACGUGGCGCGUGCUGGAUGGUUGGUCUGGAGGGUUUCACGGGUUGGAGUGUAGCCUUGCAUGUAGGAGAUCCUGCACUCUGAGAGAUGGUAGAAUCUGGUGCGGGCGUUGUAGUGGAACUGGGUUAGCUGCGCAUCCUGAUUGGCCAGUUCCAGUGGUCAACUUUGAUAAAAAAAGUAUGCAGAUCAAGCGAACGUGAUUUAUAUAGAGAAGAGUGUACGGGAACAGCAAUGAGCACGCCCACACUGGAUCGCUCCUACUUGGAAAAUCCACUCUUUUCCCUUUCCACUGUGUUUUCACUUUUCCUUUUUACUGAUACUUUUUUGUAGUGUAAUUUUGAAUGUUUUUUUUGGUCUUCACAAUCUUUCACCUUCUCUUUUCACAUGCUUUUUUUUCAAUACUGUUUUCUCUCUUUUUCUUAGAGUAUUUCCAGUGUUUAUAGUAUGUGUUUUUUUGAACCAAAAGGAGGAACCAUUUAACACUACCAAACUAACCUAUUUAUAUAAAAAAUUAGCCCUAACCUAAUCCUAAAAAAUUGCUAACAAAAUUAAUUCUCACUAACCAAUAAUCCCAUAUUAGUAGGCACCCACCAAGUCAGAUUUGACUUGGUGUUUUAUUAUUUUUUAAUUUAAUAAAAGACAUUUUAAAUGGUUUAUGUAUUUAUUUUUAUAUAUCCGAAUUAAUUUACAAAAAAUAAAUGAAAAUAUUUUUGAACAUGUAUAAAUUGUUUUAAAAUUAUAUUUUCGAAAAACUAAAGUAAAAAAUAUUUUAUUUUUUAUUUGGAACUUAAAUGAGAUUUUUAGAAUAUGUCAUUUAUUUUUUUAUAAAUUUGAAUUUAAUUAUAAAAAUUAAUAAAAUCUUUUUUAUUAUCUUUUAUUUAUUUUAUAAUAUAAAUUCGAAAAAAUAAAUAUAAUAAAUAGUAGAAAACAUUUUUUAUCCUCUUUUUUUAUAUAAAAUUAUUAUAGGCUUUUUAGGGUCUAAUUUAAUUCUUUUUUCUUAUUUUUAUUAUUUUUAAAUUUUGGUUAACCUAAUCACUUAGAUUUAGGAACCUUAACAACAUUGAUUUUGAUUUUCCUAUUUCAUUUUUUUUAUUUAAAAAAAAAACAAUGUUUUGGGCUUUUUCUGGGCAGGACAAAAAUGAGUGUUCGCAGUUGCCCCUCUUUACUUGGUACUUACUUGAUAGCAAGCAAACCAAGGUUUGAGAGAUAUCAUAGAAAGUAAUGAGUAAAGAAAUGAACGUCGUUUUUGUUAUGGCUCAGAAAAAGGCCAUUGGGAAGAUAUCGAGUUUUGGUGAAGCAUAUUGAUGCUUUGUUGGUGGACCAGGGAUUUAUUGAGGCACUUCCCGUGUUUGCCAUGAUGCACUAGAGAUUUGUUGAGACAGUUCCCACGUUUGCCGUGAUGGACCAGGGAUUUGUUGAGGCAGUUCCCGCGUUUGCCGUGAUGGACUAGGGAUUUGUUGAGGCAGUUCCCGCGCUUGCCGAAAUGAUUCAGGGAUUUGUUGAGGCACCCAUGCUGCCGAAAUGAUUCAGGGAUUUGUUGAGGUACCCAGGCUGCCGAAAUGAUUCAGGGAUUUGUUGAGGCACCCAUGCUGCCGAAAUGAUUCAGGGAUUUGUUGAGGUACCCAGGCUGCCGAAAUGAUUCAGGGAUUUGUUGAGGCACCCAUGCUGUCAAAACGACUCAGGGAUUUUCUGAGGCACCCAUGUUGCCAAAACGAUUCAGGGAUUUGCUGAGGCACCCAUGCUGCCAAAACUAUUCAAGGAUUUGAUGAGGCACCCAUGCUGCCAAAAUGAUUCAGGGAUUUGCUGAGGCGCCCAUGCUGCCAUAAUGGAGGUUUUGGUGUUAAACUAGAAAAUUCACUUGCGAAAUGUAAUGUUCCGCACCGGUUGUUAAUGCAAACAUUGUUUAGAAAUGUAUGUUGAGAUGUAUGGUUAUGCAAUUUCUGGUUUGUUUGAAUAUUUGGUUAUAUGAAAUGCAAUAAUUAGUUUGCACUUGUUGAAAGAAUAAUGUAGGGAUGCAUGUGUGAAUGCUUGUAAUGCAAUAUUUUGUUUGUGCUUGUAGGAAGAAUAGUUUGAAUAUGCAUGUAUGAAUGCCUAGUUAUAUGCAAUGAAUGAUUAUGAAUGUGACUAUGCAUUGAAAAAUAUAGUUAUGCUUUAAUGUAUGUAUGUCAUGUAUGAUAUGAUUACUAUGUAUUUUGUUUGAAUGGAAUGAGGAGUAAGACCCGUGCACAAAUGUUCUAAUGCAUCACCGAUGAGAAAUAUAUUACACACUAUUCAUAACCUUAAUUUAGCAUGAUUGAUGAUUCUUGGUGCCUAAUUGACUUUGUUUCACAAGGUUUAGUGUUUUAGACUUUAUUGGACUAAUAUUCCUAAAAUGAGUUAAUUUGAGAUUAUUUGGCCUGAUUAAAUCUAUUAUCAUUUUCAGAUCACAUUUGGCACCAAUGGCAUUUUGGGCAUUAUGGAAGUCGACGAUAUGUGUUGAAGUGAGGAUUUUAUUUUUAAUUUAGGAGUUAGUUUUAUUGUAAUUUGGCUUUGGGCCCAUUAUUUAGGCCCAAUUCGGUUUAUGUGUGUUGGAGGGGUUAAAUUCGGAUUCCCCACUCCAAACACACACACUUCAUUUUGCCUCAUUUUGGAAACACAAAGCANNNNNNNNNNNNNNNNNNNNNNNNNNNNNNNNNNNNNNNNNNNNNNNNNNNNNNNNNNNNNNNNNNNNNNNNNNNNNNNNNNNNNNNNNNNNNNNNNNNNUCACUCCUUCUUCAUUUCUCAUUUUCGGUUUGUUCUUCCAUUGCUAUGGAAGGCUAAAUUUCUGGACUAAGUUCCUUUGGUAAUGUAUCACAACUCUUGAGGUUUUGUUAUUAAUGCAUUUUCGGUUUCUUUAUUGUUGAUUUCUUCUAUCUUAUUUCUGAAUAUGGUUUGCUUAAUGCCAUUGUUUAGAAACUGGUUGGUUGAGUUUAUCUUCACUUAGUUGAUUUACUCUCUCUAGUGCAUGAAUGCUUAGUUCGUGUGAAUUUGUUAAUCGUUUCAUGCUUAUACUGAUUUCGCCUAGUUUGAGGUUUAGGUUCUGGAACUUUGAAUUGAUUAUCGCUUAGUUAAUUGAUUCUCAACAAAUUCGGAAGUUAAUGGUUGGAAUCUGAAAAUAAUCUUUUGAAACCGAGGAUUGAGUUGUGAACAAACGAACCAAAUGGAUUUAGCCGUUUUAUUACAUUGUUUAACUACUGUUUCUGAAUUUGAUUUAUGUUCAUACUAUCCAACAGCAAAACCCCCCUUGUGUGUGUGUGAGUAUAAGGUGUUUGAUACUUUGCUUGAAAGAUAAUCCUUGGGAAACGACCUAGGAGUCACUUCCUAGUACUGCAGUUUUAAUUGUUAUAUUAUUUGUAUCGGGUACGACCUCGAUCAAUCACUUAUGGUUCGAUUUGUUUUGUUUUAUCUAGUGUAUGAAAUUCAUCGAAUUUUGUAGACUCGAGUGAAGUGGUCUUUGUUGCUUGAUGUUGAUCGGUACCAUCAAAAUUUGCCUCAGUUUACUUGAAGAUGUCUUUCCUUUAAAGUGAUCCUUAAACCGCUUCAGUAUGAUCUUGAGGACAAUGACUAAACCCAGCUAUUUUGUCUGAGUGUAAAUUUGCAUUGAAUUUUUCUCAAAGGCGUUGAUGUUUUUUGUAAUAGCAAAAAUUGCCUCAGUGUGAUUGUUAUGAACUCUUGUCUUCACCCGAGAGGCUACAACUUAAAUUCUCCAAAAGAUUGCCCCAUUUUGGGUGAUUGGUGAUAUGCAGUAGCGAGUCUUCAGUGUUGAGGCACCCAUGCUGCCGAAAUGAUUCAGGGAUUUGUUGAGGUACCCAGGCUGCCGAAAUGAUUCAGGGAUUUGUUGAGGCACCCAUGCUGUCAAAACGACUCAGGGAUUUUCUGAGGCACCCAUGUUGCCAAAACGAUUCAGGGAUUUGCUGAGGCACCCAUGCUGCCAAAACUAUUCAAGGAUUUGAUGAGGCACCCAUGCUGCCAAAAUGAUUCAGGGAUUUGCUGAGGCACCUAUGCUGCCAAAAUGAUUCAGGGAUUUGCUGAGGCGCCCAUGCUGCCAUAAUGGAGGUUUUGGUGUUAAACUAGAAAAUUCACUUGCGAAAUGUAAUGUUCCGCACCGGUUGUUAAUGCAAACAUUGUUUAGAAAUGUAUGUUGAGAUGUAUGGUUAUGCAAUUUCUGGUUUGUUUGAAUAUUUGGUUAUAUGAAAUGCAAUAAUUAGUUUGCACUUGUUGAAAGAAUAAUGUAGGGAUGCAUGUGUGAAUGCUUGUAAUGCAAUAUUUUGUUUGUGCUUGUAGGAAGAAUAGUUUGAAUAUGCAUGUAUGAAUGCCUAGUUAUAUGCAAUGAAUGAUUAUGAAUGUGACUAUGCAUUGAAAAAUAUAGUUAUGCUUUAAUGUAUGUAUGUCAUGUAUGAUAUGAUUACUAUGUAUUUUGUUUGAAUGGAAUGAGGAGUAAGACCCGUGCACAAAUGUUCUAAUGCAUCACCGAUGAGAAAUAUAUUACACACUAUUCAUAACCUUAAUUUAGCAUGAUUGAUGAUUCUUGGUGCCUAAUUGACUUUGUUUCACAAGGUUUAGUGUUUUAGACUUUAUUGGACUAAUAUUCCUAAAAUGAGUUAAUUUGAGAUUAUUUGGCCUGAUUAAAUCUAUUAUCAUUUUCAGAUCACAUUUGGCACCAAUGGCAUUUUGGGCAUUAUGGAAGUCGACGAUAUGUGUUGAAGUGAGGAUUUUAUUUUUAAUUUAGGAGUUAGUUUUAUUGUAAUUUGGCUUUGGGCCCAUUAUUUAGGCCCAAUUCGGUUUAUGUGUGUUGGAGGGGUUAAAUUCGGAUUCCCCACUCCAAACACACACACUUCAUUUUGCCUCAUUUUGGAAACACAAAGCANNNNNNNNNNNNNNNNNNNNNNNNNNNNNNNNNNNNNNNNNNNNNNNNNNNNNNNNNNNNNNNNNNNNNNNNNNNNNNNNNNNNNNNNNNNNNNNNNNNNUGAUUGGUUAUAUGCAGUAGCGAGUCUUCAGUUCGGGGUGUUCAUUUAAUUUUCCCUAAUUUUUGCCCAGAAUACCAUAUGUAGGCAUCUGUCGGGAAUUCUCUCAUUUUAUAACGAUCUCAAGUCGCCCUCAUAGGUUUUCGACUCAGGACCCCUCACAUUUUUCUAGGUUGCCCAUGUGGGUUUUCAACCUAACACUCUUUUUUUUUUGCUUUUUCUUUAAACACCCUUAAAUGUCUUGACUCGUUGGAAAGUAUGCUGAGGCACCUAUGCUGCCAAAAUGAUUCAGGGAUUUGCUGAGGCGCCCAUGCUGCCAUAAUGGAGGUUUUGGUGUUAAACUAGAAAAUUCACUUGCGAAAUGUAAUGUUCCGCACCGGUUGUUAAUGCAAACAUUGUUUAGAAAUGUAUGUUGAGAUGUAUGGUUAUGCAAUUUCUGGUUUGUUUGAAUAUUUGGUUAUAUGAAAUGCAAUAAUUAGUUUGCACUUGUUGAAAGAAUAAUGUAGGGAUGCAUGUGUGAAUGCUUGUAAUGCAAUAUUUUGUUUGUGCUUGUAGGAAGAAUAGUUUGAAUAUGCAUGUAUGAAUGCCUAGUUAUAUGCAAUGAAUGAUUAUGAAUGUGACUAUGCAUUGAAAAAUAUAGUUAUGCUUUAAUGUAUGUAUGUCAUGUAUGAUAUGAUUACUAUGUAUUUUGUUUGAAUGGAAUGAGGAGUAAGACCCGUGCACAAAUGUUCUAAUGCAUCACCGAUGAGAAAUAUAUUACACACUAUUCAUAACCUUAAUUUAGCAUGAUUGAUGAUUCUUGGUGCCUAAUUGACUUUGUUUCACAAGGUUUAGUGUUUUAGACUUUAUUGGACUAAUAUUCCUAAAAUGAGUUAAUUUGGGAUUAUUUGGCCUGAUUAAAUCUAUUAUCAUUUUCAGAUCACAUUUGGCACCAAUGGCAUUUUGGGCAUUAUGGAAGUCGACGAUAUGUGUUGAAGUGAGGAUUUUAUUUUUAAUUUAGGAGUUAGUUUUAUUGUAAUUUGGCUUUGGGCCCAUUAUUUAGGCCCAAUUCGGUUUAUGUGUGUUGGAGGGGUUAAAUUCGGAUUCCCCACUCCAAACACACACACUUCAUUUUGCCUCAUUUUGGAAACACAAAGCANNNNNNNNNNNNNNNNNNNNNNNNNNNNNNNNNNNNNNNNNNNNNNNNNNNNNNNNNNNNNNNNNNNNNNNNNNNNNNNNNNNNNNNNNNNNNNNNNNNNGUUUUGGUGUGAAGUUAGAAAAUUCACUUGCGGAUUGUAAUGUUCUACACCGGUUAUUAAUGCUUACAUUGUGUAUGAAUGUAUGUUGAGAUGUAUGAUAUGCAAUUUUUGGUUUGUUUGUUUAUUGUUUAUUAGUGGAAUGAUUUAUAGUUGUACGUUUGAAUAUUUGGUUAUAUGCAAUGCAAUAAUUAGUUUGCGCUUAUUGAAAGAAUAGUGUAGGGAUGCAUGUUUGAAUGCUUGUAAUGCAAUAUUUUAUUUUUGUUUGUUUGUGCUUAUAGGAAGAAUAGUUUGAAUAUGCAUGUACGAAUGCCUAGUUAUAUGCAAUGAAUGACUAUGACAUGUUUUUUUUUGCUAUAAUGAUUGGUAUAUGAAUGUGACUAUGCAUUGAAAAAUAUAGUUAUGCUUUAAUAUAUGUAUGUCAUGUAUGAUAUGAAUACUAUAUAUUUUGUUUGAAUGGAAUGAGGUGUCAGACUCGUGCACAAUUGUUCUAAUGCAUCACUUAUGGUUCAAUUUGUUUUUUUCAUCUUGUGUAUGAAACUCAUCAAAUUUUGUAGACUCGACUGAAGUGGUCUUUGUUACUUGAUGUUGAUUGGUACCAUCAAAAUCUGCCCCAGUUUACUUGAAGAUGUCUUUCCUUUAAGGUGGUCCUUAAACCGCUUCAGUAUGAUCUUGAGGACAAUGACUAAACCCAACUAUUUUGCUAGAGUGUAGGUUGGCAUAGAAUUUCUCGAAAGUGUUUAUGCUUUUUGUAACAACAAAGAUUGCCCCAGUGUGCCUGUUUUGAACUCUUGUCCUCACUGAGGAGGCUUCGACUUAGAUUCUCCAAAAAACUGCCCUAGUUUAGGUGAUUGAGGAUAUGCAGUAGUAAGUCUUCAACUUGAGGUGUUCAUUUCAUUUUCCCUAAUUUUUGCCCAGAAUAUCCUAUGUAGGCAUCUGUCGGGAAUUCUCUCAUUUUAUAACGAUCUCAAGUCGCCCUCAUAGGUUUUCGACUCAGGACCCCUCACAUUUUUCUAGGUUGCCCAUGUGGGUUUUCAACCUAACACUCUUUUUUUUUUGCUUUUUCUUUAAACACCCUUAAAUGUCUUGACUCGUUGGAAAGUAUAAGCCUUGAACAAUGAGUCGUUCUUUCUUCAAGAUGUUUGAUAAAUGAAGAUCUUUCUUGUGUCUGAUUGAGAGAUUUUAACUUCUUGUGAUUGAUUGAACUAAUACAAUCAUGAGAAAUCACUUCUACAUUGCUCCAGCUUUGGGCUCAUUUUAAUUUUUCACAAGAAAAUGGGGUCAACCCAAAAACUGCCCCAGUUUUGGCUUCUUCUGACUUUCCACUAGAAAAUGUGAUCAGCACCCAAAAUUUGUCCCAUUUUGAUCUUCUUAUGAUUUUCCGCUGCCCCAGUGUGAGAUAAUUCGAGUCAUUCUUAUAUCCAUAUUGAUUUGGUAAGCUUAGAUUGUCAAGUUCUAGGUCAUGAAUCAUCUUAAAUCAUGCCCCAGUUUGAGAAGCUUCCAAUGUUCCUUUGCCUUUAUUGCUCAUGCAUAACUUUUUUUUUAAAAGCAAUGAUCAUGCAAAUUUUGGUACGUGUUUGGGCUAUGAGUGGUGAUGUGGUAAUGAUGAUAAAAUUUGGGUUUGUCUUGGGUAAAUGUCGUGGUGAUGAUGAUGAUAGAGUUCAAUUUAGGUUUGGUUUGGGUAGAUAUGGUGGUGAUGAUGAUAGAAUUCAAUUUGGGUUUGGCUAAUAGUAGAUGGUGGUGGUGAUGAUGAUGAUAUAAUUGAAUUUAGCUUUGGCUUGGGUAAAUAUCGUGGUGGUAAUGAUGAUAGAAUUCAAUUUAGGUUUGGCUUGGGUAGACAUGGUGGUGAUGAUAAAAUUCAAUUUGGGUUUGGCUAAUAGUAGAUGGUGAAGGUAUGAAGGAUAGAUGGUUGAUAUUUAAUUGUGGUUGAUGAUAUUUAAUUUGUGUUUGGACUUGUGUUGAUAUGAUGGUGGUGAUAAUAAGUUUUAACUUAUGCAUAAAGGUGAGAUAUUUUAUCAAAACUUAACGAGACUUGUGGAGUCAACAUUUUUUUGUUGUCAUGAUGCACAUCUUAGGCAAAUAAGUCAACAUUGAGGUUUUGGUGUGAAGUUAGAAAAUUCACUUGCGGAUUGUAAUGUUCUACACCGGUUAUUAAUGCUUACAUUGUGUAUGAAUGUAUGUUGAGAUGUAUGAUAUGCAAUUUUUGGUUUGUUUGUUUAUUGUUUAUUAGUGGAAUGAUUUAUAGUUGUACGUUUGAAUAUUUGGUUAUAUGCAAUGCAAUAAUUAGUUUGCGCUUAUUGAAAGAAUAGUGUAGGGAUGCAUGUUUGAAUGCUUGUAAUGCAAUAUUUUAUUUUUGUUUGUUUGUGCUUAUAGGAAGAAUAGUUUGAAUAUGCAUGUACGAAUGCCUAGUUAUAUGCAAUGAAUGACUAUGACAUGUUUUUUUUUGCUAUAAUGAUUGGUAUAUGAAUGUGACUAUGCAUUGAAAAAUAUAGUUAUGCUUUAAUAUAUGUAUGUCAUGUAUGAUAUGAAUACUAUAUAUUUUGUUUGAAUGGAAUGAGGUGUCAGACUCGUGCACAAUUGUUCUAAUGCAUCACUUAUGGUUCAAUUUGUUUUUUUCAUCUUGUGUAUGAAACUCAUCAAAUUUUGUAGACUCGACUGAAGUGGUCUUUGUUACUUGAUGUUGAUUGGUACCAUCAAAAUCUGCCCCAGUUUACUUGAAGAUGUCUUUCCUUUAAGGUGGUCCUUAAACCGCUUCAGUAUGAUCUUGAGGACAAUGACUAAACCCAACUAUUUUGCUAGAGUGUAGGUUGGCAUAGAAUUUCUCGAAAGUGUUUAUGCUUUUUGUAACAACAAAGAUUGCCCCAGUGUGCCUGUUUUGAACUCUUGUCCUCACUGAGGAGGCUUCGACUUAGAUUCUCCAAAAAACUGCCCUAGUUUAGGUGAUUGAGGAUAUGCAGUAGUAAGUCUUCAACUUGAGGUGUUCAUUUCAUUUUCCCUAAUUUUUGCCCAGAAUAUCCUAUGUAGGCAUCUGUCGGGAAUUCUCUCAUUUUAUAACGAUCUCAAGUCGCCCUCAUAGGUUUUCGACUCAGGACCCCUCACAUUUUUCUAGGUUGCCCAUGUGGGUUUUCAACCUAACACUCUUUUUUUUUUGCUUUUUCUUUAAACACCCUUAAAUGUCUUGACUCGUUGGAAAGUAUAAGCCUUGAACAAUGAGUCGUUCUUUCUUCAAGAUGUUUGAUAAAUGAAGAUCUUUCUUGUGUCUGAUUGAGAGAUUUUAACUUCUUGUGAUUGAUUGAACUAAUACAAUCAUGAGAAAUCACUUCUACAUUGCUCCAGCUUUGGGCUCAUUUUAAUUUUUCACAAGAAAAUGGGGUCAACCCAAAAACUGCCCCAGUUUUGGCUUCUUCUGACUUUCCACUAGAAAAUGUGAUCAGCACCCAAAAUUUGUCCCAUUUUGAUCUUCUUAUGAUUUUCCGCUGCCCCAGUGUGAGAUAAUUCGAGUCAUUCUUAUAUCCAUAUUGAUUUGGUAAGCUUAGAUUGUCAAGUUCUAGGUCAUGAAUCAUCUUAAAUCAUGCCCCAGUUUGAGAAGCUUCCAAUGUUCCUUUGCCUUUAUUGCUCAUGCAUAACUUUUUUUUUAAAAGCAAUGAUCAUGCAAAUUUUGGUACGUGUUUGGGCUAUGAGUGGUGAUGUGGUAAUGAUGAUAAAAUUUGGGUUUGUCUUGGGUAAAUGUCGUGGUGAUGAUGAUGAUAGAGUUCAAUUUAGGUUUGGUUUGGGUAGAUAUGGUGGUGAUGAUGAUAGAAUUCAAUUUGGGUUUGGCUAAUAGUAGAUGGUGGUGGUGAUGAUGAUGAUAUAAUUGAAUUUAGCUUUGGCUUGGGUAAAUAUCGUGGUGGUAAUGAUGAUAGAAUUCAAUUUAGGUUUGGCUUGGGUAGACAUGGUGGUGAUGAUAAAAUUCAAUUUGGGUUUGGCUAAUAGUAGAUGGUGAAGGUAUGAAGGAUAGAUGGUUGAUAUUUAAUUGUGGUUGAUGAUAUUUAAUUUGUGUUUGGACUUGUGUUGAUAUGAUGGUGGUGAUAAUAAGUUUUAACUUAUGCAUAAAGGUGAGAUAUUUUAUCAAAACUUAACGAGACUUGUGGAGUCAACAUUUUUUUGUUGUCAUGAUGCACAUCUUAGGCAAAUAAGUCUUCAACAAGGUCUCUUUAAGCUUGUAUCGUAGUUAGGCUAAGGGUUUUCAAGAAAAGGAUAUAAGGCUCAAAAUUUGUGUUUCCCAUACCCACCAUUCACCUUUCUUCUUUAUGCUAUUUUCAACAUUUCUUAAACAUGACAUUCAACUAUUGAGAGAAUUUUUGAGGUUUUGAUAAGGAUGGCUUAUGAUUAAGGCUAUAAUUUUUCAUGAAGGGUUCUUUUUGCGAUCCUUGAUAUUGCACUAUUGCCCUAACUUUUGCCUGAGAUAUUAAUUGAGGAUUCUCAGUGCGCUUUUUUACUUUUUUGUUUUUUUUUUGGCAAGGAACGUUCUUUGUAUUUUCUUAUCCUUCAGUCGCAUGAUUGAUGUAAAAGAAUAUUUUUAUUUAAUAAUUGAAUGUCAAGGAAAACUGUUUAAAAAGCUACCCUCCCCGGGCUAUUGAUAUAUUGAGGGUUAUUAAAAAAUUAUCUAUUUUCAUUAUGUCUGGGCUCAAAUGGGGUGACUAGGGAUAUCUCCAAGAUGUUUAGGAAUUACAAAAAAUGCCUUGUGUCAUUAGAAAAAUUUGCUUGAAGAUGUAUAUCAUUUUUUUGUUUUAUAUUUGCAUCAUUCUCCAUUUUAUUUUUGAAUCAUUUUUAAUCAAAUAUCUCAUAUUAAUACAUAGAUUAAUUUUAUUUGGGUUUAAUUGGUUACGUGUUCUUUGGAUAAAUAUGGUAGUGAAGUUAGUAAGGUUAGGUAUCAGAUGGUAAAACUUGCAUGAUCAAUAUAUUAGUAUAUACUUGUUAAAAAGAUAUGUAUUUGAAAGUAAAUUUUUCCGAGUGAAUGCUUGAAUGGUUCGACCUUGACUUUAGUCCUCAAGUGAAGAGAAAUUAUCAAAUUGGUCUCCAACUUUGAUGGGGUUGAAGAUAAUGCACUAUCGAGUAUGGACUCAACCACAAACUGGGAUUUCUCUAUCUUCUUGAAUGUCUUCAGUUUCAAUAUUGAUGGCUUUCAGUCGAGUCUAACAGACUUAUUCUUAAAAUCAAUCUUCCAUUUAUGAGUUUCCUUAGUAGUGGGAUCAUGAAAUGCAUGCAAAAAAAUGAUUUCUUAUUGAUGCAUGAUGUGCAUGAAGUGAAAUUUUUAUCAUGUUACAUGAAUUGAGAUGCAACCUAUAACUUAAAAUGAUGCAUGAAAUGCAAGAAAUGUGUAUGACUAUGCAUAUGUUUGGAUGUAUAGAUAGGUUUUCGACUUAGGACCACUCACCUUUUUCUGGGUUGCCCAUGAGGGUUUUCAACCCAACAAUCUUGUUUUUUUUUUAACUCUUUCUUUGAACACCCUUAGAUGUCUUCACUCGAUGGGAAGUAGAAGCCUUGAACGUUGAGUCGUUCUUUCUUCAAUAUGCUUGAAAAUCGAAGAUUUUUCUUGUGUUUGAUUGAGAGAUUUUAACUUCUUGUGAUUGAUUGUACUAAUACAAUCAUGAGAAGUUACUUCGGCAUUGCUCCAGAUUUGGGCUCUUUUUAAUUUUUCACAAGAAAAUGGGAUCAACCCAAAAAUUGCCCCAGUUUUGGCUUCUCCUGACUUUCCACUAGAAAAUAUGGUCAACACCAAAAUUUGCCCCUAUUUGGUCUUCUUGUGAGUCUCCAUCGCCCCCAGUGUGAGAUAAUCCGAGUCAUUCUUAUAUCCAUAUUGAUUUGGUAAGCUUAGAUUGUCAAGUUCUAGGCCAUGAAUCAUCUUAAAACCUGCCCCAGUUUGAGAAGCUUCCAAUUUUCCUUUGCUUUUAUUGCUCUUUAUUUCAUGCAUAACUUUUCUAAAACAAUGAUCAUGCAAAUUUUGGUACAUGUUUGGGCUAUGACUGGUGAUGUGGUAAUGAUGAUAAAAUUUGGGUUUGGCUAAUAGUAGAUGGUGAAGGUAUGAAGGAUAGAUGGUUGAUAUUUAAUUGUGGUUGAUGAUAUUUAAUUUGUGUUUGGACUUGUGUUGAUAUGAUGGUGGUGAUAAUAAGUUUUAACUUAUGCAUAAAGGUGAGAUAUUUUAUCAAAACUUAACGAGACUUGUGGAGUCAACAUUUUUUUGUUGUCAUGAUGCACAUCUUAGGCAAAUAAGUCUUCAACAAGGUCUCUUUAAGCUUGUAUCGUAGUUAGGCUAAGGGUUUUCAAGAAAAGGAUAUAAGGCUCAAAAUUUGUGUUUCCCAUACCCACCAUUCACCUUUCUUCUUUAUGCUAUUUUCAACAUUUCUUAAACAUGACAUUCAACUAUUGAGAGAAUUUUUGAGGUUUUGAUAAGGAUGGCUUAUGAUUAAGGCUAUAAUUUUUCAUGAAGGGUUCUUUUUGCGAUCCUUGAUAUUGCACUAUUGCCCUAACUUUUGCCUGAGAUAUUAAUUGAGGAUUCUCAGUGCGCUUUUUUACUUUUUUGUUUUUUUUUUGGCAAGGAACGUUCUUUGUAUUUUCUUAUCCUUCAGUCGCAUGAUUGAUGUAAAAGAAUAUUUUUAUUUAAUAAUUGAAUGUCAAGGAAAACUGUUUAAAAAGCUACCCUCCCCGGGCUAUUGAUAUAUUGAGGGUUAUUAAAAAAUUAUCUAUUUUCAUUAUGUCUGGGCUCAAAUGGGGUGACUAGGGAUAUCUCCAAGAUGUUUAGGAAUUACAAAAAAUGCCUUGUGUCAUUAGAAAAAUUUGCUUGAAGAUGUAUAUCAUUUUUUUGUUUUAUAUUUGCAUCAUUCUCCAUUUUAUUUUUGAAUCAUUUUUAAUCAAAUAUCUCAUAUUAAUACAUAGAUUAAUUUUAUUUGGGUUUAAUUGGUUACGUGUUCUUUGGAUAAAUAUGGUAGUGAAGUUAGUAAGGUUAGGUAUCAGAUGGUAAAACUUGCAUGAUCAAUAUAUUAGUAUAUACUUGUUAAAAAGAUAUGUAUUUGAAAGUAAAUUUUUCCGAGUGAAUGCUUGAAUGGUUCGACCUUGACUUUAGUCCUCAAGUGAAGAGAAAUUAUCAAAUUGGUCUCCAACUUUGAUGGGGUUGAAGAUAAUGCACUAUCGAGUAUGGACUCAACCACAAACUGGGAUUUCUCUAUCUUCUUGAAUGUCUUCAGUUUCAAUAUUGAUGGCUUUCAGUCGAGUCUAACAGACUUAUUCUUAAAAUCAAUCUUCCAUUUAUGAGUUUCCUUAGUAGUGGGAUCAUGAAAUGCAUGCAAAAAAAUGAUUUCUUAUUGAUGCAUGAUGUGCAUGAAGUGAAAUUUUUAUCAUGUUACAUGAAUUGAGAUGCAACCUAUAACUUAAAAUGAUGCAUGAAAUGCAAGAAAUGUGUAUGACUAUGCAUAUGUUUGGAUGUAUAGAUAAUGCAAGGAUACAAAUCUUUUUAUGAUGCAUGAGACGUGAGAAAACAUGUAAUUUUAUUUUUCUUGAAUGAAUGAGACUUAAAUGAAUGAGACUGCUGGAAAAUGUAAUUUAUGAUAUGUACGACAUUGAAUACAUGAGGUUUAUGAUAUAUAGGAAGAUGUUUGACAUUUUUUAUUUUUUAUUUUUAUGAUAAUGAGUGAAGAUAUAAAAAAUGGUUAUUGAAAUAAUACAAUCUUUGAAUGAAGUUUAUUUAUUUAUGAAUCUACGCAUGAGUGAAUGUAUAAAUAAAUGUGUAUGAAUAAUGUAUUUUUCAUGAAUGGAUGAAUUUUUUCUUUUUGAAUAGUUUAUUUUCAUUUUUUUGAUGAAUGUAUCAAUUAUUUAUUUAUUAUUUUUUGAUGAAUGUAUGCAUAAGUGAAUGUAUGUAUGAGUAAUGUGUUUAUUUUUUGAAUUGUAUGUAUACAUGAGUGAAUGGAUGUUUAAUAAUUUUUUAUGCAUGAAUGAAUGUCUAAGUCAAUGAAUGAUUACUUUUCUUUAUGAAUACAUGAAUGAAUUUUUUUUAGAUUGAUUGACUUAAUGAAUAAAAUUAGAUGAAUGUAUGAUCAUUAUAUUUUUAAUUUUUUUUAGUGAAUGUAUGAUUUAUUUUUUUAAAAUGUAUGUAUGCAUGAAUUAAUGAAUGAGUAGAUGAGUAUAUGAAUAAUAUAUGCAUAGAUAAUUGAAUGAAUAAAUAAAUGCAUAAACUAGUUAAUGAAGAUUGUUAUUUAUUUAAUGUGAUGAAUGAAUGAAUAAGUCAAUCAAAUUUUUUUAUUGUUGAAUGUAUGGUUAAAUGAAUGAAUGAAUUUUUCUUUUUGAUUGCAUGAAUGAAUGAAUGUGUGAUUAAUAUACUUUUUUUUAUUAAUGUAUGAAGGUAAAAGUAGAUGAGUAUUUAAAUGAUGUAUUUUUCUUUAUUUAUUUAUUUUGAAUUCAUGAAUGAGUAAUGAUUCGACGAAGGAAUAAAAGUUUGAGUUAUUUGUAUAUUGUUUUUACAUGAAUGAAUAAAAUUUCUUUUUGAAUGCAUAAAUCAAUCAAUGAAGAAUAUUAUUUUUGAAUGCAUAAGUCAAUCAAUAAAUAUUUUUUUUGAAGGCAUAAAUAAAUGGAUAAAUGAAUGAAUGUUUGAGCAUGUAUUCCAAACAAUAUGUUAUAAUACAAACAUUACACACAUCACAGAAUUCACAACAAGUAUAACAUCAUAGGACAAGGUUCUAACAUAUAAUGGACGCCCUAGGCAAGUUCUAGACUCCCUAUAAAUAUUUCCAUAUUGCAUCUCUCACGAAUAGAGAAACCCAAAUAUUAUGAUAUUAGAAACAUGAGACCGGCUCGAGUGGCUAACUCAUAAUAAGAGGUAACAAUAUGAGUGGUCCACAUCACCAACACUUAGAAGCGACAAAGACCGCGACCAGUGAGGCUAGUGUCCCUUCUAUCCAAAAGGUAUCACUAAUACCCAUGUGUAGGGCAUAUAUGUGAGCCUAAAAUGUACAUAUUAUAUAUCACAUACUAACAAAAACAAUACAUACAUGCACAUAUAAUUCAUAUACUCAACAUAUAAUUACUAAUUAAGCAUGCAAUUCAUACAAUUAAUAAUUAAGCAUGCAAUUUUCAUAUUUUUACAUACAAUUAAUAAUUAAAUAUUCAAUUUUCAUAUUUAUAACACAACUAAUAAUUAAGCAUGCAAUUUUCAGAUUUUUACAUACACUUAAUAAUUAAACAUGCAAUUUUGAUGUUUAUACGCACAAUUAAAAUUAAGUAUAUAAUUCAUAUUAAUAAUUAAGCAUGCAAUUUUCAUAUUUUUACAUACAAUUAAUAAUUAAAUAUUCAAUUUUCAUAUUUAUAACACAACUAAUAAUUAAGCAUGCAAUUUUCAGAUUUUUACAUACACUUAAUAAUUAAACAUGCAAUUUUGAUGUUUAUACGCACAAUUAAAAUUAAGUAUAUAAUUCAUAUUAAUAAUUAAGCAUGCAAUUUUCAUAUUUAUACAUACAACUAAAAAAUAAAACAUACAAUUUUCAUAUUUAAACAUACAAUUAAAAUUAAGUAUAUAAUUCGUAUUAAUAAUUAGGUUUGUAAUUCUAAAAUUUAUACAUACAAUUAAAAUUAACCAUAUAAUUCAUAUUAAUAAUUAAGUAUGCAAUUUUCAAAUUUAUACAUAAAAUUAUAAUUAACCAUAUAAUUCAUAUUUAUACAUAUAAUUAAUAAUUAAGCAUGCAAUAUUAUUGGAAAUGAACUAAUCAACAAAAUAAAAAUAUAAUAAUACUAAUGGUAAAUAAACAAUCACAUAUUUUAUUGAUUAUGGGCCGGACUCUCUCAAAAAAGUCUCCAACAGAGUCGGCAGCUGUCUUGCCCCAAUUUUCAACUGCACAGACUUUGUUUAGAGUCGUCACUACAUUUUAUAGUUAAAAAUGUAGAAAAAUCUUUUAAGCCCAAUUACCCUCGGCUUUUGGAUUUUUGAUAUCCCGGUUCGGGAGUCGGUUACAAGGUAUGGAAGGUAUUAGCACCCUACCCGCCCGCCUUAAGCGGUACCUUCAUUAAAAUGUAUGACUUUAUUGCUAUUAUUAUUAUUAUUUUAUUAAAUUAUUUGAUUAAUUAACUAAUUGUUAUGAAAGAAAAAAUUUAUUUUUAUUAUUGAGCCUGACAAUAUUGACUUUGGUCCUAGGUACCCCUAUUAAGGGGAUCAAGGCUUAUAUAGUUCUUUAGGUAGAAAAAUAUUUGUUGGUUUGGUGUAUUUUAAUUAAAGAAAAUAUAUUUUUAGUCAAAAAUAUUUAUUGUGCAUGUUUAUUUAUUGUUGAAAAAAGUUUCUAUUUGGUUAAUUUUUGUUAUUGAGUUAAUUAAGAAAAUGAAAUUUAAUUGAUUUUGAGAUUUAAUCAAUUGAAAAGAAGCGGCAUAGCGCGACCUUUCGAAGAUGAUCUGAGAAGAAAGAGGCCUCUAGGGCGACCUUCUCUCCAUCUUUGAUUAAUUCUCAAAAUUAUUUUAUUUUUUGAAAAGUUCUUAUUGUUAUGUUUUAUUUAUGAAAAUGUUCAAUGUUUUAUUAGUCACUUCAAAUUAUUUACAGAGAAUAAAUAAUUUAAUUAAUUACUAAAAAAUCAUAAAGAAUUAUUGGUUGAUUAUUAUUUACCUUUUGGAAUUUUCUUAUUUGUUGUUAGUUACUUAUCCCAUAAUUUAUUAUAUUAUUAAUUUGUUACUAUUAAUAUUAAUUAUUGUAUAACCUUUAAUGAAAUAUUUAUUAAUUAUUUACAAUAAAUAAAAGACAUUUAUUUGUUAACAACAUUGUAUAGUUUAACUAGUAAGAAAAAAAUAGAAUUGUUAAAAUAGAGUACCUAAUUGUCUUUAGAAGUGUAGAGAGUGCACUGUUGGAAUUGUGCUAGUGUGUGGCAGUUAUGUAGAGUGCAGGACACGUGGCUGAGCAUGAGUAGAUGGAGUGUUUCACACUUGGUGAGCAUGAGUAGAUGAGUAGAUGGAGUGUAGCCUUGCAUGUAGGAGAUCCUGCACUCUGAGAGAUGGUAGAAUCUGGUGCGGGCGGUUGUAGUGGAACUGGGUUAGCUGCGCAUCUUGAUUGGCCAGUUCCAGUGGUCAACUUUGAUAAAAAAAAGUAUGCAGAUCAAGCGAACGUGAUUCAUAUGGAGAAGAGUGUACGGGAACAGCAAUGAGCACGCCCAUACUGGAUCGCUCCCACUUGGAAAAUCCACUAUUUUCCCUUGCCACCGUGUUUUCAUUUUUCCUUUUUACUGAUACUUUUUUGCAGUGUAAUUUUGAAUGUUUUUUUGGUCUUCACAGUGUUUCACCUUCUCUUUUCACAUGCUUUUUUUCAAUAGUGUUUUCUCUCUUUUUCUUAGAGCAUUUCCAGUGUUUAUAGUAUGUGUUUUUUUGAACCACAAGGAGGAACCAUUUAACACUACCAAACUAACCUAUUUAUAGAAAAAAUUAACCCUAACCUAAUCCUAAAAAAUUGCUAACAAAAUUAAUUCCCACUAACCUAUAAUCCCAUAUUAGUAGGCACCCACCAAGUCAGAUUUGACUUGGUGUUUUAUUAUUUUUUAAUUUAUUAUUUUUUCAUUUAAUAAAAGACAUUUUAAAUGGUUUAUGUAUUUAUUUAUUUUUAUAUAUCCGAAUUAAUUUACAAAAAAUAAAUAAAAAUAUUUUUGAACAUGUAUAAAUUGUUUUAAAAUUAUAUUUUCGAAAAACUAAAGUAAAAAAAUAUUUUAUUGUUUAUUUGGAACUUAAAUGAGAUAUUUAGAAUGUGUCAUUUUUUUUUUAUAAAUUCGAAUUUUAUUAUAAAAAUUAAUAAAAAAAUAUUUUUCAUUAUCUUUUAUUUAUUUUAUAAUAUAAAUUCGAAAAAAUAAAUAUAAUAAAUAGUAGAAAUCAUUGUUUAUCCUCCUUUUUUAUAUAAAAUUAUUAUAGGCUUUUUAGGGUCUAAUUUAAAUUUUUUUUCUUAUUUUUAUUAUUUUUAAAUUUUGGUUAACCUAAUCAUUUAGAUUUAGGAACCUUAACAACAAUGAUUUUGAUUUUCCUAUUUAAUUUUUUUAUUUUAAAAAAAACAAUGUUUUGGGCUUUUCCUGGGCAGGACAAAAAUGAGUAUUCACAAUCACCUAAAACAUGAUCUUGAAUUUAAUUUAUUAUGUAGAAACUAAUAAUUCAAAUUUUCUCAACAUUGAGCCCAAUUCUCGGUUAGUGAUAUUAAUUUAAAAAACAUCGCCAUUCCGACCAUUCAUAUUGACGAUCAAGAAGUUAUGAACAUCAUAUACAAAAACACAGCUCUAUCCAAAAAUGGACAAAUGCAUUGUCCCAAUUUUAUUCGGACUGCCCAUGGUUGGUGUCUCAUUCUUGCUCAACAAGUUGUGGCUCACUCUGUGAGUGAUUCCUUGCACAUUGCAUCGAUCUAAUCAUUCAUCUUGAAAUUCCACAUGUUAGGAUCAUCAUAACCAAAAAUCACCACACUCUUACAAUGGACAAAUCCAGUGUUGUAAUUUUACUAAGAUUGCGCUAGUUUGAAUCUUUUCUUUCCCUUCUGAUAUAUAUAUCUAAAAGUAAAAAUUUACGGCGAGACACUGAGAAUUGCAUCGACAAAUAAAUUAUAAUCAAAUUGAAUUAAUUAACUACAAAUAUAAUCAAUUGGAAUCGAAAUGUGUUAUCAAAUCAUAUCCAUAAACAACGUAGGUUUUUCACUUAUCAUAUUGCGAACAUUCUUUUGCAACAAUAAAGUGUUUUUUACUUUCUACAAAAGUAGAGAGACUAUACGAUAAUUUUCUAUUAGAUAAUUCAUUUCUUAAUUUUUUAAUUCAAACACGUAUUUGGAGAUGUUGACAUUACUUUUUCUCAAUCUUGAUUCAAUUAGGUUUACUAUCUUCAAUUAUUGAUCCUGAACUUUUUUCAUUAGCCACACCUAUGUGUGAAUGGGAGUGUUCUUAUUGAUUGAUCUAAUGAAUCCUUAACACAUUGUUUGGGAGUGGAGUUUUGGAGGAUACGGGAAGGGAAGGGAUGGCUUUGGAAAUUCUUCCCCGUGUUUGAGAGUUGGAUGAAGGAGAGCGGGAGGUUUUGGAGGGUCUCUCAAACCCUCCAAAACCCUCCAUGUGUCUAUUUUUAAAGUUCCCCCAAUUUGGGGUUUUUUUGAAGAUGAAAUGUCAAAAUAGCUAAAUAUUUUUGGAGAUAUUAUGUAAUUAUACAUUAUUGUCCAUUUCUCAUUAUUAAUUUUGUUUUUAAAGGAAAAAUAAACAAUAUUCUUAUAUUAUCAUUAGUUUACUCUUCCUCUUCUAAAUUUUAUACUCCCAAACAAGUUGAAGGAUUUCCUUCCUUUUCCCUUCCAUUCCUCCCCCUUCCUAACUCUUUGAUCUCCCUCCUUCCCUUUCCCUUAUAACUCCCAAACAAAGCCUACGUGUUGACAAGUCUUGAAUAUAGACUAGUAUUGAACAAAAACGACUCAAUUUUCAGACACCUCUGGAAAGUAAACUACUACAGUUGUUUUGAUGAUGUAAAAGAUUCCAGAGACAAAGAUUCACGUGUUUAACCAUUUCAUUGUACUUGUUGAAUUUUCUACACAUAAUAUAAAUAGAUUAAAAAGGUCAAACAUAUCAAAUAUAAUCUUUCUUAACUUAUUUGAAAUUAUCAAAAAUUAGAUGAUUAACACUUAGAAUAUGUUCUACACAUAUAUGGUUUUAACACUUCUUUUUAUCGAUGAACUUUAAAAACUUCAAAGAAUUUUCCAAUGGUCUUAAAAUUCUUUGUUUACAGCAAACAUUAAAUAUAUUGGGUCGUUGAGUCUUGAUUCUGAGAAGCAAAUGUUUGCUUGAAUUCAUUAUGUCCAAAACUUGUGAAGAAGAUCUUUGCUCCUGACCUUGGCACGGUUUUGAUGAAGACACCAACAUCACCAAAAAGAAGAAAAGGAAGAAUACUUAUGAAGACAAAGAAGAAUAAAGCUUCAAGAAGAUUAGAUUAAGUCUCUAUAGGUACUUCUAUCCUAAAACUCUUACUUAUGCAAAGUAGUAAUGCUCAAAACCAUUUUUAAAGAAUAAUGAAACACUUUCAAAAUACUUAAAACAAUUUUUGAAAAGAUGUGUAACGGGUUACUUAAUUCAAGUAACAAGUUACAUGUGAGAGAAAAAGAGUUAUCCAACUUAAAACUGCUCANNNNNNNNNNNNNNNNNNNNNNNNNNNNNNNNNNNNNNNNNNNNNNNNNNNNNNNNNNNNNNNNNNNNNNNNNNNNNNNNNNNNNNNNNNNNNNNNNNNNAGGAUGAGGAUGAGGAUGAGGAUGAGGAGGAGGAUGAGGAUGAGGAUGAGGAUGAGCAUGAGGAUGCGGAUGAGGAUGAGGAUGAGGUUGAGUAUGAGGAUAAGGAUGAGGAUGAUGAUGAGGAUGAGGUUAGGAUGAGGUUUAGGACUAGGAUGAGUAUUCGGAUUAGAAUUAGGAUGAGGAUGAGGAUGAGGAUGAGGAAUAGGAUGAGGUUGAGGAUGAGGAUGAGGAUGAGGCUGAGGCUGAGGCUGAGGAUGAGGCUGAGGCUGAGGAUGAGGAUGAGGAUAGGAUGAGGACUGGAAUGAGGACGAGGAUGAGGAUACAAUGAGGAUGAGGAUAGGACGAGGAUGAGGAUAAGGAUAGUAUGUGGAGGAGGAUGAGGAUGGGGAAGAGGAUGAGGAUGAGGACGAGGAUAGGAUGAGGACGAGAAUGGCGAUGAGGAUAGGAUAAGGAUGAGAAAGAGGAAGAGGAUGAGGAUGAGGAAGUGGAUAUGAUGAGGACGAGAAUGAGGAUGAGGCUGUGGAUAGGAUGUGGAUUAGGAUGAGGAUGAUGAUGAGGAUGAGGAUAAUGAUGACGAUAGGAUGAGGAUGAGGAUGAGGAAUAGGAUGAGGACGAGAAUGAGGAUGAGGAUAGGAUGAGGAUGAGGAUGAGGACGAGAAUGAGAAUGAGGAUAGGAUGAGGGUGAGGAUGAGGAUAGGAUNNNNNNNNNNNNNNNNNNNNNNNNNNNNNNNNNNNNNNNNNNNNNNNNNNNNNNNNNNNNNNNNNNNNNNNNNNNNNNNNNNNNNNNNNNNNNNNNNNNNUAUAUAUAUAUAUAUAUCUCUGGUUCUCAUAAUAAAACGGGUGAAAUAAUUUUGCCAAGUUUACUGUGUGUAUCAUAUUAUCUCUUGGUUUUGAUUGUCCCACAGGAUGGUGGAAUACUAGCAAUUCCCACUGUCGCAGACAGUCCAUUAAAGCUUAACACAAAAAAAGGGUUGUCUUCUGAGUUCUACGAUAGAACUUUUGCAUUAUCGAGCAUUGCUAGUAUGUCUGGAUGUUGUCAGGUAAUUUGAUAACUUCAUGUUGUUGACUCUUGAGGUUAUAAUGUUCCUUUUUCAAUAUCUAUGUAUUGUUACAAUUCCAUUAGGAUAUAUGCUCAGGUUCUUGACUCUUGAGGUUCUUGUCUUCUGAAUUAUAAUGUUCCCUUUUCAAUAUCUAUGUAUUGUCAGGUAAUUUGAUAUAUGACUUUUGGUUGACUCAUACAGUGACUCUUACAUUAUCUGCAGGUUACAAUUCCAUUAGGAUAUCACAAUGAUUGUUGUGUUUCUGUUUCACUCAUCUCAUUCCAUGGAGCUGAUAAAUUUCUUCUUGAUACGGUUUUGGAUAUGUAUACAACUCUUCAAGAGCAAGUUAGUGUUGCUUCCUCUUUGCCAUUGCCAGAUACCAACGGCAACAUGGAAACUUCUGAACUUUUAAAAGAGAAGGUUAGUUCUCUCUUAGCAUUUUCUCACUUAGAUACUAUUUCUUAGAAUAUUUUUUUGCAAGAUUAGUUAUGUAGUAAAAUCAUGAUGUGAGGUUGGAUGCUGCUGAAGCCUGAAAGCAGUAUUUGAGUUGAGACUGAGUUUCAGGUUUCAGAUUUAACUGAUUUAGAGUCUAUGAUGAGAUGUGAAUAUACUUUUUUUGUUUCUAUUUGUUAGCAAAUUUGGACAUUAUUGGUCUAGUAUCGACUUAAUAUUUUAUUAUUGUAAGUAGGGUUGGCAAACGAACAGAGCCUUUCACAACUUUGGAAGGCUUGUUGAUAGCUAAACUUGGCUUAAAUCAGAAGUUGUUAUACUUGAUUUGCUAUUGAAUGGUGGGUUAAAUUACUAAGAAAGUUGAAAUUGAGUGUGCACUGAUACUUGGUAUGUGUGGCUGUGGGCUCUUGAACUGGGUCCGUUAAUCUAUUGAAUUUUUCUUAUAUUUCUGCAAAACCAUUAUUACUGUUUAACAUGAAGUUCAGAAACAAUGCUACAUUAAGAUCCUGUCCGUAUGUGCAUAUAAUCUUGCAGUAGGUAAUAUUAAAAAUGAUUGAGAAGUUUCUAAGAAGCUUCAAUAAUUGAAGUUUUCUGCUGCUAUUGUAUCACGGUCAUGGUUCUUCUGUUGAACAUUUUAUAAACAUUGAAAGACAUCAUUUAAAUAUUGUGCAGUGGUUCUGUCAUUUAUAUCUGGGAAUAUGUUGCAAUUAAUCAUCAAACUGUUUUUGAAUAAUAAAUGCAUUUAUAGCAAUUGUUUCUUCAAACUUUUGCCACGAGGGAAUGUGGGACCCAUAAAUUAUCUGUAUCAGUUAAUUGAAGAGAGCUUGAACUAGUGUACUUCAUGAUUACAUUGCACGUUGCAGUAUAAAUCUAGGUUGGAUAAUUUGAUAUAAGCUACUAAAAAUGAAAUGAUAUUUUUCAGGGGAAUGCAGCCUUUAAGGGAAGGCAAUGGAAUAAGGCUGUCAAUUACUACACCGAGGCUAUCAAAUUGAAUGGGAUGAACAUGACUUACUAUUGUAACCGAGCAGCUGCUUACUUGAAGUUAGGAUGGUAAGAGGUUUCUCCUUUUCGUCAAUUAACGUUUUUACUAUUUUCGUAUGUGACUGGUGUUCCCCACAUAAAAUUAUGCAGCUUUCAGCAAGCUGAAGAAGACUGCAGCGAGGCCAUAUUGCAUGAUAAGAAGGUGAGAAGAUGAGCAUUUGAUUGUGGUAGUUUUAUGAAAACUUGCAUGAUAAGUCUUAUUAUAAGUUCUAAAACUCUAACAAGUAGCAACCACCAGUAAUAGGAAUGGGGUUUGCCUAAUAUCAUACCAAAUGUUACAUUAUGGUUCUGAUAUUUUAAUAUGACACCAUCUUUCCCGAUUAGUAUCUGUCUUAUGCAAUCGUGAAGUUCAUAAUCAGAGUUGAUUUAAUUUAAUUGCUUGUAUUGAUAUGAUUAUGUUCAACUCCUAAAGUCCGUAUUUUAUAGGGAUCCUUUAGAUUAUGUUAUUAGCUGAAUCUGUCAUAUACAAGUAUCUAAAACAGACAUCUGUUAUGUUAAGAAUAGUGCACCAUUUUCAUGCAGAAUGUGAAGGCGUAUCUGAGACGUGGAACUGCUAGAGAAUCACUACUACGAUACAAGGAGGCUUUUGAAGGUGGGUCUUAAGUCUUAACUUUUUGAAGAAUUUUCUUGUAUGCAUUGUGAAUCUAAUUUGAAAUGCUGUAAGUUUUCUUGAGGACUUAACUCUGCUGAAAACUGGUCACUACUCAAUUCUUUAUUUUCAAGAGGCAGUUCGAAACAAUAUUUGAACUUUUUGUAUGUAAAGUUUGUUUUUGCAGCUCUUGGAGUUAUGGAUUAUUUAUGAAUGUAGAGCAUGAUGACACAAGAUAAAAUUAUAGAUAAACGUUUAACUGCAGAAAAUGUAGACACUGGAAUAUCGUAUGUAAAAUGUAGUUGAUUUUUACUUAUUUUGAUCCUUUUAAAUCUUGCUUUCAUUUAUGAGGCAGUGAAAAAUAUCUUUGGCUAAGUUAAUAGAAAACGUGAAAAAAUGUUGUAGAGGUAGAGCUUACAGAGUAUUAAAGACUUGAACAUUUUUGUUGUUUCCAUAUAUAUCCUUAAUGUGGUUCCUUUUUCUUUGCCAUUUGUUAAUGUUUUGCAGAUUUCAAGCAUGCUCUUGUUCUUGAACCACAGAACAAGGAUGCUAGUGUUGCUGAGAAAAGACUCAGAAAAUUGAUGAGUUGAGAGAUAUAUCAUUGUGGCUCCUUUCAUGCAGUGACUACUACCUUAGGAUAGUAAGAAAGGUAAAUUCAAUGAAAGAUAAGAUGUGCAUUUUUUGUCAUUUUGUGCAUAUCUUGUAACAGUUGGAUAAUCUCAACAAAAUAAUUAUAUUUGUAUUUUCUUUUCCUAUUUACCUAAUUUUUGACAAGUAUUCCUUCAUCACAUACUCUUGUAUGCUAAAAAUAUGUAUCUGCUGGAGAGUGUGUGGAUAUCAGGAGCAAAUCAUCUUGUAUCCCAUAAAUUAUGUCACUCCAUGUGUCCUAAGUUACGAUUGGUCCGGAAAUUACUUAAUAAUUAAAUUUUAACUUAAAUACAACUUUUAAACCAAUCACAAACAAUGGUUAAUAUCAUUGUACUCUUCCUCAUAAAUUAAUGUUUCAUUCUUAUUAAUUUUACUAUUUCUUAAAGAAUAGCAUUUAGUGUUCUUAACCUUUCCUCUUAGAUUUCGAUUUUCUUUCAACUCAUUAUGUUAUUUUUGCACAUUUAGAUUUAAUUGAAAAAUUUGUUGUAGUUAAUGUAACCCAUGAGAUAUUUAUUAUUUCUUUUUAGAAGUUCUAUUUUAUUCUACGAAAAAGUGUGUAAUUAACGUAUUCAUUUCUUUAAACUUGUAACACAUUUUUUAAUAAAGAGACUUUUUUAACAAAUGUAAUCAACAAGAUGCUUAUGCGAUUUCUUUCUCUACAGUGGCAUGUGGCACAGUGGCAUCACUCUUAAAUAGUAAGUCGCUAAAUAAAGUUUCCUGUAUUUUCUUAAAAUUAGAUAUAAGUUACUUUUAAACAUGUUUUUUUGUAAAAACUAAUUUGAUUAAAAGAAUAGAACAGACAAUUAAUAAAUCAUUUAAGACUGCAAUUAGUUUAACGAGAUAACUCAUGAAAAGCUUAAUUUAUAGAUAACUGCCAAAAAUCAAUCUUAGGACAUUAAGUAUGGUAGGAUCUAUUGUCACAUGUUUUAAUGUUAAUCUUUUUUUUAAUUUGGUUGCCCAGCUUCUUCUCAAUUGGGCUAAGAUCAAUAAUUGAAAUAUAAUAAGAUAGUUUAUAUAUCAAUUGACUAUGGAAGAAAAGGUAACUUAAUUUGGAGAAAGUAAAGGGAUUUAAAUUCUAAUCACAUAUUUUUACUCACAAUUUUUAUGAUACUUGCAUCUUGAGAUAUCAGAAUUUUUCCUGAGCAAUUAAAAUAUAUCAGAAUUUUUUUAAUUUUUUUUAUAGGCUAUUGUAUAUGAGAUGAAACUGCUCACAGUGAGAAUCAAAUAUAAAUGUAAUUCUUAAACAAAGUACCUGCCCUAGUUGAUAAUAGAAUCUUGUGGAUUUGUGAGGGUGUUCAUUUCUCAAUCACGUCUACAAAUGUUACAAUAAAAUUUAUAAUUCCAGAUUUGUAAAUCCAUAUAAAAACUAUUUUUAGCUACCAAUAGAGAUGCAAUGUUGACUCCAUGUCUCAUUUUACGUUAAUCUUGCUUAAAAUAUAUGUUUAACAAUUUAUUGUUUAAUGAUGGUUGAUUUGUUUAAUACAUUUGUUUUUCACAUGCUAUAUAUGGCUACAUAUUUUAGUUCACAUAAAACAAACAAGGCACGUUCUAGUAUACAUCAUUGGUCUACUAUACCCACCUAAUUAACCACGAAAGAUGCUUAAACCCUAUAUUAAAUUACUAGAAAAUAAUGUAAUCACUCACAUCGUAUGAUAUUUAUAUAUUUUUAUUAAAUCAUUUACUAUUUGUUUUUAAUUAGGAUUGACUCUUCAAAAACGUAAUAUAAAAUAAUUGUGAAUAAUAUGUUGACUAUAUAUAAAUUUAUACUAACGAUAUAUAGGUAUUACAUUCUUAAAUUAUUCUUACAAAAUGCAUACAGUGACGAGUGCUAACUAGGCAUCAUGGGAAGCAUAGCCACACAUAUUAAAUAGUUCAUAUGUGAAGAUUAUAAAUAUGUUUACAUACAACUGGGAUCUCAAUAAACUACUUUUUGUUUGGUUUAAUAUUUAUAUAUUAUCAGUGUAAAAAUUUAUACACAAUCUAUAUAUUAUCUAUUAUUUAUUUUUAUUUUUAAAAAAAUCAACUAUAAUUAAAUACAAAUAAUAUAUAAUAAAAUAGUAAUGUAUAGGAUUCUUAUGUAUAUAAUUGUUUCUUCCUCUUUUUCCAUAUAAAUUAAUUUCAUUCCUUCUACUAUAAAACCCAGACCACGUCCACAUAUUAUUAACGGUGCAAAAGUUAAGGUUAUCAUUUCACAACCACCACUAAAACAUAGUCAUAACAUCAUCAAAAUCAAUCUACAGUUUCAAUUUGUGUCACUUGAAUUUGACAGUUAUUUAAAAUGGGCAUGAAGGAGAGUCCUACAGCUACUGCGACCACACUUCCACCGUUGAUCCUCCGAAACAUCAUAACUCCGUUUAUCAUCUACGCUCUUAAUUGCUUCCUCUUUUUCGUUGAUAAAUACCAACUCCUCGAAACGUUUCGAGGCGCGUUUCUUUUCUUCCUACGUUUCGUUCCCCCCUCUUUUCUCCACUGCGUUUUGGCACCACCCGCAAUAAAGCGCGACAAAUACGACAACACCGCACAACGAAACGACACGGGGAUCGGUCGAGCACUUUCGCAGCUUCUUUCAAUCGUAAACGACAUCCCCGUUAGUUCGAGGAAGUACGAGGUAGUUAGGUGUUUAGCGGAGAGGGUGAUAGAGGAGAAUCAUAACGAAGGGGUUCACGCGCUGCGUCGCGUGAACCGAGAGGUUUUGUCAUCGGCUUUUGGGAGGACGCUGAACCGGCUUGAAGUGUUGGUGGGGAGUAGUAAUAAUAGACCGGGUGAGAGUGGUGAACCGGAGGAGGGGUGGGUGAACCGGGUUUUUAGGGUUUUUCGGGGUGUUGUUGGUGGAUCAAGGUGGAUGGUGAGAGGAGGAGGGGAAGGGAGUGGGGUUACGGCGGAGAAGCUAGCGGCUGAGUUGGAGUGGCUGGCUCAGAGGAUGGCGGCUUGUGGUUGCGUAGAAGAAGCUGUUGGGAAAUGGGCACCGGCUUCUAAUUUGGGCUGGCUCGCUCUCUCGGCUGAGCCGCGCUUGCAAGCUUCCCUUCUCAAACUUGCAGGUAUCCAUAUCAAAAUACUUGUUUUCUUUAAGAAAUUUGGAAGAAAAGAACCCCGUUAUCAAUAAUUCAAUAUUGUUCUAAGUUAUAGUUGUAGUGCGGAUAUUGUUAUUUUAAUUAUCGUCAUUAUGGAGUAAAUUGUUUUCCAAUUAAAAAUGUAUUUUUGAAAUUCACAUAUCUUAUAUGAGAUUCAAAUGUAGUUGUGCUGCACCCAAAUGGAGCCACACUACCGUAACCAAAAUACUAUGACCCUUUUGUGAUGUAGUUUACAACUUAAAUCACGAAUUUGAAAGAAAAAAAUAUUUCCUAAUUAGGAGACAUAACUAACUUGUUUAGUGAUUCUUUUUUCUUUUAUAAAAUUUCCUUUAUCUCAAACUGAAACUUAUGACUAUGUAAAACUAUAUCAUUGAGUAUAAUAUACUCUUAUAUUUCCAGGAGGAUUUUGGGUCUUCAUGUCAAGAUGUUUAAAAUAUUCUACUUCAGUACAUUUUAUUAUGAAAAAUGUGUCGGUAAAUAACGAACUGUGUAAAAUUUAUGCAUUUUAAAACGGAUCAAGAUACUAUAUUAUCCUUUCAAUUUGGACUGUAAAGUUCUUGUUUGUGGUUGCUAUUGCAACCUUGCAAUAUCCUGGAUGAAAAAUAAGGGGUGGCUUUGGCUUUAAAAUUGUCUAUAUCUCUUUGACACUUUUUCUUCUUACCUAUUUUGACUUUCAUUUCGUUGCAGCUUUCUUGUUGAAGGAAGCCAGAGACAUGAGCAUAGAUGAAACUGAGGGAAGCAAAAUAGAGCCACAGAGGCAGCAAGUGAAGUUAAAGAUGCUACAGUCAUGGCUGCCAUUAUUGUGCAGAGGCAGCAAUGGCACUGAUGCACCAGUUUUAAGCAUCAGUGAGAGGAGUGGUUUAGAGAAGGUGUUAGAGGAAACUAUAGAGGAGUUGGAAAAAGAGGAGGAACAGGAGCAGAUUCUUUCCCUUUGGCUCCACCAUUUUACACACUCACCCUCCUCUGACUGGCCAAAUCUCCAUGCAUGCUAUGCUCGCUGGUGCAGUGCAUCUCGCAACCAAUUGCUUCUUCAAUGAAAUUUGUUACCAUAUAACAAAUUUAAAUAACAGAGAAUUUGGUUGAGGUGUAAUAUAUUGUGCAUAAUUAUUUAUUACCAUCUUAAUAAUUCACCAAUUAAAUUGGCAAAAGUUCUUAGUUUAUUACGAAAGUAAUAUAAGAUGGUACAAGACUUUGGUACUUUAGUUUAAUAUUGUAUUGUGUUAGUAAUUAGUUUAAAUUUAUUUACCUUUUUCUAUUUUUAUGAUUAAUAUAUAUGUAAAAUAGAUUAUUAGUUAGUGUAAAUCAAUUAUUAGAAUCUUGUUUCAAAUCAAGUUUGGAGUUAUAAAUAUGUAUAAGGAUUUGUUGUCCCUAACCAUGUCAUUAAGUCUGUCCCAAACCAAUCAAUAUAUAUCACAUUAGUUAAAAAAAUUAAACAUUCAUGAUUUUAUCUAUUUUUGCUUCAUUAUAAUUAGUUUUGGACAAGUUUUGGGACAUGCUCGGGAACAUGAGAUCCCAUCCUAUAAAUAUUCACUCACCUGAGAUAUUGAAAAUAUUCUAGAAGUUGGUUAGAUAGCUAAUAAGUUAGAUAGUUAGUUCAUUAACUUUAUAUCAUUAGUUACUUGGAUUAUGAGUGGCAAAUAGAUAGAUAUGGAUGGAUUUGGAUCCUAAAUGGAUUGGUGGAAAAUCAUCCAUCAAUCGAUAUAAAUUCUUUUAAAUUGUAUUUUAAAUUACCUAAUUUACUCAUAUCUAAACUUAUUGAAUGAAUUUCAAUUUAUUUAGACUUCAUUUUCAUGAAUUUGGAUGGAUGAAUAUUUAAUCCAUUUGAAUUUUUUUUGUUGAAACUAAAGUUAAUUUUGAAGAAAAUGUUUCUUUUAAAAAACACUAUUUUUAAUAAAACAUUUUUUAAAAUCACUUUUAAAAAUCAUUUUUUUGAAAAAGUGUUUUAACAUUUUUCUAAAUUGUUUUUUUGAACUUUAAAAAAAAUAUUUUUUCCAAUAUUGUACCUAUAUAUGACGUUUAAGGUUCUAUGCAUAAAGUUUAUGUAUAUUUAUAUAUGUUACCUACUUAAGAACAAACUUUUAAUAUUAACUACAUUCACAUGUCAGAUAAUGGAUAUCAAUUUAUUAAAAAAAUCAAAGUGAGAAGUACUACAAGAAAAUGAGAGUUGAGAUAGUAAAUAAAACUAAAAAACAAAGAAUACAAUCUUGUAAUGUUUUUUGGAUGAAUUGGAUAUUCAUCCAAAUAGAUAUAUCCGUGGAUAUCUAUUGAAUUUAAUUAACUCAAAUAGAUGGAUUUAAUUUCCUUAGAUUUAGAUGUAUUGUAAAUUAUGGAUAAUUUUUCUACUUCUAGCAUGGAUCACAAGCUUCUUUUUCCUUUGCAUAAGUUAUCAUUUACUUUCUUUUUAAUAAAUGGGAAUGAAGUAAAUUUCAAAAUUAGUAACAUAUUUUUCAUUUAAUUUGGAUUUGUUUAUCAAGUAGGCUUAAAAACCCAAGAAAACCUACUCCAAAAUAAAUCUAGAAGAAACUGCGCCCCUAUUGUCCUUAUCUAACAAGGGAGGAAGGGGGUGGUCUAUAAAAUUGCACUAGAAAAAAGUUUCAUGAACAAGAGAAGCAAGAUUGUCAGCAUAGUGCCUCUAUAAAACAGUUUUACACUUCUCUCCAAAUAAAUAAAAAAACAAAGAAAACUUAAGAGAUAAUAAUAUUUAUAUCCUUUAAUUUAUACUAAUAUUAACUUUUUUGCUUAUGCAAAAACAUAAUUUCCUUCUCCGCUAUUAAAAAGUUACUCCAGAAGAAUCAUGGAUGUAAACGAUCCAAUUGGAAUUUAAGUGAACAUGGAUUCGAAAGGGCUGCUAUAUAGGAGAGGGUGAGUGGAAGAUUUCACAUGUAAAGUUAAUUAUAUCUAAAGUGGGAAAAUAAAUUUGUUUAAAUGGUAGGAGACAGUCAUGAAUGAGAAAGAAAAUAGGAAUAAGAAAGAAGGAGAAAAAUAAAAAAUGAGAAUCAAAGUUUUUGUAUAAUCUUUCUCAUCGAUUGAAUUAAAAAAUAAUAGAAUGAUUUAUAUAUUGAAACCCACAAAAACUAAUAACCAAUUAUCUAACAACUAACUAUGGCAACAAUGCUUUAAGAUAAGUUUUUAAGUAUUGUGAAGAUAAUGAAGAAGUUGCCAAAGUCAAAACCAACACUGUCUAAGCUAUUUGCAAUAGUUUCAGUUUACUUGGUGUAGAAGUUAUUGGCUUUUAGUUGUGAACUUUAGUCAAGUACAUAUUUUGAAUGCAUUGUCAAUGUAUUUAUGAAUUGUGUGAUCCGUUUUAGAUCAUAUGGAAUUAGUUAGGUAGUAAGGAACUUAUCCCAACCAACUUCCUAUGUAUAGUAGCCCAUGUUGAAAAUUAGUUGGUUGCUAAUCAAAAUUUACUCAUUUUAGACCAAACAUAAUUCUCCCAGCUUUCUCUUUCGUUUUCUCCAUUUCCUUCUUACUUCUUUCUUCAUUGACAAAGCUUGCUAAGAAGAGAAGUUGUCCUUUUCACAUAAGUAUAUAUACUAUUAAAGGACUUAGUGGGUUAGGAUCUCUAUGCACUAGAUCAAAUUAAGGGUGAACACACCCUAUCAUGUUCAUUGCAAUUACUAAGAGCAUGGAACAGAUGAAAACUUUGGGGUGCUGUAAAUGUAAUUGCAUAACAUUGGCACCAGCACCAAGGAAGCAAAGCAUGCUUUAGGAUACACACACCUAUGUAGUGGGCUUAUUAGAUGCAAAUGGGCUUAUAUAUGUAAAGUUAUUACUUGAUUAUUGUUUGGCUGUUUUCUUUUUUCCCAGUGAAUUAGAGUGAAAAUGAAACAAUAUAGAGUAUGGAAACCCAUAAUGGAGAUCUCUUGUCUCAAACUAAUUAAAUUCUGUCAAUCAAUUAAAUAGAAAAAUCAUAAAAUUAAAAUUGUAUUAUUUGUUGUAAAUGUAUUGGACAAAGACAGGAAAAGACAGAAUUUUUUGCGACAAAAAAUCUUUAUUUGUAAACCUCAUACAUGUCAUUUGUGAGGUGACAGAGACACUAUGUGCUAUAUUGAAAUAAGUCAAAUAACAUGGGCGCCACUCUCUUCAUGCGGAAUGCUGAGUUUGCCACUGUAUCCUGCUUGUAUUGUUGGGUUUUCAGGUAAAUCCAAUCACUACAAUUAUCAUUUUUUUAGCAAAUCAAAAACACCCUGGGUUUACUUGUUUUACAUACAAUAUUCCUUCAGUUGUUUUUGUUGGAAGAAGUUCUUAGUGGAUUGUCUUUAAAGUAAGCAAAUAAAAACAUAUUUAGCAUUGCAUCAUUUUGUCAAUUGUCAUUUUUAUGAAUUUUAUCAAACCAAAGAUUAACAUGUCAUGGCAUACUCGUUUUCGAAGAAAACUCACUUUAAGGUAGGAAUCUUGUCCAUUUUUGUUACAAGCAUGAGAACAAAUACCUAGUUACCUGCAAUCAAUCAUACUUAAAGAAAACAAGAUUAAGCAUUAUUUAAGGUAAGCUAUAUUCAAAGUAGCUUCUUGGGCAAUUUGUUCAAAAAAAAAUUGGAACACUCUCCAUCCAUUUAAACAGAAGUUCUUUGAAUUGAGGAGAAAGCUGGGCUCAAAAUUCUCAUUACAAAUUUAGCCCAAUGCUCUAAUCCAUUUUCUGAACUAUUUCAGUCCAAGCCAGUGAUAUUGUAAGAAUUCAAUUACCAAUUAAAAAAUAACAACAUUCCACUAGAUUGAUACAACAUAAUUAAGAUUCAUAAUGUGUAAUGGUAAGGAAUUUGAUAGUUUGCCUAGCUCAACUUCUACUUGCGUGUUUGGUUUCGGGUUACAUUUGGGCUAGACGCACUUUUCAUGUGAAAUUGUUGUGUUGUGAGUAGCUUAUGCGUUUGCAACGCACGUUCAGCAAAUCGCAACACAAUUUCUAUCAUGCACUAGCUUGUUCAUUUAAGAUGAAUGUUAUAGUCAAGGUUCUAAGCACUGCUUGCUUGAUGAUCAAGAAUCUUAUCAAUAGGCCCAUAUGGCAAAUCUUGUCAAGUAUGAAAUGAGUACACCAAAAAAAAUAGAGAAAAAGAUAUAUACGAUGAGAGUAAAUAAGUUUUAUACAUUAUUAUUAUAUUAUUUAUCAUUCAUAUUUAAUUAUAUUGAUUCUUUAAGGAGAGUAAUUCAAAUAAAUAGUGGAUAAUAUAGUGAAUGUAUAUAAAUCUGUAAACUACUAGUAAAUAAAUAUUAUAUUCAUUAUACUCAUAAUAUAUAUAGGAGUAUAAUAUUUAUGAGUAAACAUUUAUAAUAUUAUAUUUAAGAAUUAGUGAUAAAAUUGAAAAUCAAUAGUAAAUGUUGCGGUAAGAGUGUAAUAAUUCUUACGGUGUAUGUAUAUAUAUGUGUGUGAAAUGAUAAAUCAAGUUCACCGACCGCAUUAAUUAGCAAGCAGCCGAAAGAAGGAAAAUGAUAAGAGAACAAGUCCCUUCCCACUUCGGAUUAAGAGAGCAAGAAAGAAAACAUCCAAAGGAUAUUAAGAUAAUGUCCGAAAUAUAGUAAUCAACUCGAUUCCCCACCCUUAAUAUACUAAUAUGUGUCGCAUUAUUAGGUGAGCCAACUAAUGGCUUGGUGUAGUCACGCCCGUAAGUAAUAAAAUAAGAUUACUUAGUUAAUUAAAUUUUACAUAUUUAGACCAAGGUAUUUGAACAUGAGAAAAAAGAUGUACAAAUAGUCUUACACUUUUCACAUUAUUACUGUAUUAUCUAUUGUUCAUUUUUGUAAUUGUUUUUAACUAUUGAGAGUGGAUGGUUGGGAAUCGAGGACAGAUGGUCGGAAGCUGAGGAUAGACAUUUAAGAAAGUGUAGGAGAGUAUGAGACUUGUUCGGAUGAUCAUCUGGACCCGUUGAAGAACUUAGAAAAUGCUGAUUUGACAUCUCGUCAUUGACCAGCACCUAACACCUAACGAGUACAAGGGACAUACUCUGGUCAUUCUUAUUUGACCUGCUGCCUUUGUCUAUUUGUCGAGGGCAGGUAGAAUGUUCAGGCGGCGUGACAAGUGGUUUGUGGUCUAAUACUGAUGAUGAGUCAUCGGCCAUUAUAUGGUAAGUCAAAUGUGUAUUAAAUAGCAUGUCUGAAGUGCAUUAAAUAACAUAUCAGAGGCCUUAAUGUCGCCUCAAGGGAAUUUAAUGCCUCUACCACGGGGGACCCAUAUAAGCUAAACGAUAGGGACAUGCGGAGUACUACGUGGGAUAUUUGGGGAUAGCUCGAGGAUGUUGGACCAGUGAAUAUUCUUUUAAGGUUGACAGCCCAGAUAUUUCAAGGUUGGCAAUCCGGAUAUGACCGGGCUGGAACAGUUGCCCCCAGUCUAUGAAGUCGGCCAAGGGUGAUCGGGUUAGCAAACUCUUUGGAGUUGACAGCUCGGGUAUGACCGGGUUAGAACAGUAAUUAUUAUAGAUUUUUAAACAAAAGUAAUGCAAAUAAAUAAAAUAUAGAUGAUGUACUACUAUAUAUAAUUUAUACAGUCAGUAUAUAUAUUUGAAUAUAUAGUAUACGCCAUAAUAUCUUUACGUUUCAAGUCUAAAGUAGAGGUCACGGAGGUUUAAGGACAAAGAUGAGAAAUGAAGAAGGCAGUGGAAAGGAAAAAAAAUAUCAAAUUGAGAACAAUAUAUUAUUUUGUUAUUCCAUGUAAAUUUGUUUCAGCCAACCUUGCAGUAGCUCUAGCUAAAGAAGGUUUUAAUUUUGAGCUCUUGAUUAAGGUGGUCUCUGAAACAGCCCGAAUUUCUCCUUAAAAUUAGCAUUGAGGUUACAAAUCAGCUUUAAAACUGAAGAAAAUCACAAUUUUAGGCUAAUAGGUAAAACUUAUGUUUAGGAAACAAAGUGAACAACAAAGGCAUUUUGUAGAACCAAAAUAAGAUAAAAAAUUAACACGGAUCAAGCAUUUCUAAUGUAAACUCCUGUCUAAAAACAGGAAUUUAAUAAAUACACAAGUUGUUAUAUAUGAAUUAAAUUUAGCUUUCUGUGUAUAGCCGCUGAUAUAAUGCAUUCAACUGAGAUAUCAAAUUCAAGCAUGCGUUUUAUUUUAUUCUGGUACUAUGUCUUCUUCAUAGUCCACACUCUUCUAAAGAAAAAGUCUCCUUCUCAAAAUAAAAACAAAGUGUGGCCUCUAAAGACUUUGAUCUUAAUCCAUGCUAGAUGAAGCCGAAUGGGUCCUAAUAAAUAUUUGAUUUCAGGCUGAACAUAUCCUAAUCUUCUAUUGUUCAAAUUUUAUUUUAAGGAUUUAAUUGUAUAUAUUGAGAGUGUUUAAGUAUUUUUUACAUUGACAGUAAAUUAUUCAUCAUUUUAAUUAUUAUUAACUCUCAAACAAAAAUAUUACUAAUGGAUAGUAUAUUAAUAAUGUAAAAACUUUACACUGAUAAUAUAUACAUUUUAAACUUUACCAAUAGAAUAUUAAUGAUGCAAGAGUGCAAGCUGUUUCUUGGAAACAACCCAUUACUUAGCUCGAGACAUUUUUAAAACCACAAACUUGGGGAUAUUUUUUGUUUUGAAAGACCACUUGAUCUAGAGUAAACUAAUCCAAAAUUAAUUGAACCGUAUAAUUAAUUAGUCAUAAUGUCCACUUUUGACAUAGCAAAUAAAAUUUUGAGUAGGCAUCAAAAGAAACUGGAUAUGGUCUCUGAUGUGGAUUGGAGGGUGGUGGGAUGACAAAAUUAGAUGCUUCAUUAUCAAGACAUAAGCUGGUCAAAAAAAUUUGUUUAAUCUGACAAUUAAUGAUACAGAGUGGACAAGAGCAAGCAAGUGGAUAAUUAAGUGAUAAGUGUGAUUGGUUGUUUGAGGCUUUGAGCUGUCAUUUCAAUACUUGGUGUUGAUGAGUAACAUUUUAUUUCAAUUAUUAAGUUAGAGUAUCACAGUGAUGAAAAAAAACUAAGUUCAUAAUUAAAUAAAAACAUUUUUAUUUCAAUUUUAUCACUUAUUCUUAGGUUUAUUUCGUAACAGUGUGAACAAAAUAGACACUUUUUUAUAAUUGAUAUAGCAUUAAAAAUGAAAAAAUGUUAGAAGAGAGAGAAAAAAUUAAUAUUAAAUAAAAUAAAGUAAAAGUGAGAAGAAGAAAACAAAUAUAAAGUAGGUUUAUGGGAUUCAUUUAAGAAGGAAAACAUAGUUGCACCAUUCGAGAUGAUCUUAACUUAAGUUGUUUAAGUUGUUAAAAUAUAAAAUAAUCAGUGAAACUCGUUUAAAAAUGAAAAAUGAGUUGCACCAUUAUGAAAGAUCUAAGGUAUCUAAGUUUCACUAUUUAAUCAUCCCAACUUUAAGAUAAGACAUGCACUCUAUCCCAUAUUUGUAAUUUUUUUUAUGAACAAAUUGAUAUAAAGAUUUAUAUAUAUAUAUAUAUAUAUAUAUAUUAGCAGAUAGCUUAAUUCCAUCUCGAUUACUAAUCUAUUUAAAAAGUGUACGCACAUAUAAGUAUCAAGUUAGAUUUAACCUACCUUACAUUGUACGGGAUAACAUGAAACUUAAUAGGGGUGUGGAAAAUAAUCCUUUAUAAGAGUAAUCCCAUGCAGGGAAAUAAUAGAGCCAUAAAUUUAUGAAAACAUUUUAUAAGACAGUUUUAUGAGGAUUGGGGAAACUGAUGCUACGGCUUUUACUUGAUGUGUCACAGUUUUAAGAAUAAAAAUAUUUUUUAUGGGGACUUUUUAAAACUUUGAACAAAUAAUCUAUUUAUAAAUUUUAAAUUUUGAUGAGUUCACAUUAUCUCUAUUAUCAUAUUUUAACUUAAUAAAACUACGAUAUGAUUGUACUAAACACAUUAUGGUUUAUAAAAGUAAACAUGUUAAUAAAAUAAGCCAGAAGAAUAAAGAUAUUUAAUUAAAGUUAUAAUUAUUUUUAACUGGCUCCUUAUCAUGGUGGUGGGCCUCCUUAAUGGCUAUAGCUACUAAAUCCUCAAGUAUUAGAAGAAUAUUUAUGUAAAAAUAAUAAUUAAAAUUUUAGUAACAUAUUAUAAAUUUAAUUGUAAUUAAAAUUUAAUCUUAAAUGAUAAUAUUAAAAAACAAAAAUAUAUUUGUGACUUGUUGAAUAUAUCCCUAUACAACUUUUUUAGGGUAAACAUUUAUUAUUUGAGUCUAUUCCAAGUGAGUUGUGAUUGUUUUGUGAAGCAACAAUGAAUGGGAAGUUAUCACCCUUUUAUAAUUUUAUCAUUAGUACAUAUUUUUCUUAUUCUAGUAACUAGUAAGUACUUGCCCUAAAAUGUUCAUAAAUUCAAGUUGCUUGUGUGGUUUGAUCCCUUUCAUGAACUUAUUAUGUGUUGUCGGUCGUCAAACAUAUGCAAGAUAUGACUUUAGUGCACUCUGUAUUUUUAGGCUCUUAAUUAUUGGUCAUUACUGUUUAGACGUAUUUAUCUGCAUCUUCAUUCCCUCACAAUUGUUAUAAUAUAUUGUGGUGUUCAUUGCAAAAUUGUACAAACCAUCAGAUAAUGAAUUCUCCAUCAACUCAUCACUAUCAUGUCGGAUGUUUAGGACAUAAAAGUUGAAUAAAUUUCGGGGAAAUUCAUUUACUUUUUCAGGAUAAAAUUAUAGCGUGGAAAUGAAGCAAUAGUUAAAGACGUACGGUAAUUAAUAAGACAAAUCCUAGUUGGAAGAAGUAAUUAUGUUCGGAAGAUAUUAGUUCCUUAUUAAAAAAUAUUAUUAUUAAUACCAAAAAAUUAACGUAGCUUGUAACAAUUAUAAAUGACACGAAAUAAUAUGUACUGACUGAGUCACGACUAGAUUGCUCUCUUUAAGAUAUUUUGUGGCACUGCCCAAAAUGUGCAAGUACACUAUCCACCACGCCGUCCACAGGAUAAAACAGUCCAGAUCUCUGUUAUCGAAUUCUUACUGUAAAAAUCGAUCUCAAAUACACCCACACAAUAUGGCUAACAAUAUCAAUUCUCAAAAUACCCACAAUACAAUAUGACUAUUGGUGCCAAUUUUCUAAAUACCCGCAAUAUGGCUACCCGUGUCAAUUUUCUUUCCACGAUACUGACUACUAGUGUCAGUUCUCGAAAUGCCCACAAUUCGGAAAUGCAUCGUUGAAAAAUAUGAGAGAGAAAUAAAAAGUUGAAUGAAAACACAUUCAACUUGAGUCGAGUCAAGUUAUAAUGAUGGGAGAACACCUCUAUUUAUAACAUAAUAUAUUUUUUUCAUGUUUCUCAUCUCACCAAUUUGGGACUUGUGACUUGUUUUUUUUUUCAAAACUUUUCUAUGUAAGAGACUUAAAAAUAUUUUAGAUUUUACACCCAAAAGUUCUAGUUAAUGGUUUUCAUUCCAACAAUUCCUCCAUCCAUUUCGUAACUUUUUAUACUACGUUUCAUAUAUUUUAACUUUUUUCAUAUUAUUUCCACAUCCUUUUGAUAUUUUAAAAAUCCAACAAAUAUUUAUAUUUUAUUUUCCAUGUAUAAUCUUAUUUAUUAUUCAUCUUUUAUACUCACGUUUUCCCAUUUUUCUUUAAUGUAGUUUGCAAUGUAAAUUUAAAUACGGUUGCCUUAGGCAAAUUAUAUAAAAAAUAUACAUUAAUUAACGUUUUCUUAAAUAAUGUGUACAACCUUAAAUGUAAAAAGUAUAAUGAAAGUAUGUUUUAUGCUUCAAUUUUUCUAAAAUUAUUUUUGUUUUAUGAUUUUAAGGGUUUGUUAAACUCUUUCUAUUGGAUCAUCAUCUAAUAAUUAAACAUAUCAUUUCUUAUUAAUUAACUCAAGUUUCUCUCUCUUGUAAAAAAAAGAGAGUAUUUUAGAUUAAUAAUAAAAAACUUAAUAUAAAAUACUAAUCUUGUUGAAUUAGAUUGAAUAACAAAUUUGUUAAGAAGUGGUCCUGUUUCUAAAUGAUACCUUCCUUUGGAUUGCUUUCUAACAACCUUUUCUCCACCAUAUAGGGAAAUGGAAGAUUAAUUAAUUAAUGACUAAAAAAUUAGGGUUUUGAUUAUGUUAUCUAUUGAAAUUGAAGAUAGAAAAAGGAAGGCAAAAAGAUGAACCAGGCCAACUCGAAAAUGAAAAUACCCCUCAAAAUGAUGAACAUGAUAAACGUUUUUUCAAUUUUGUUAUGACCUUAGUACUACCACAAUCCAAACAACUUCGUCCAAUUCUCAAAAGUGGCCGAAAAUAUUGAAUUGAUCGGAUGCAGCUGAAUUUGGUAGGUGACCCUCUAAAACCUUAUUCGUUUGCACUUAUCUUUGCUGAAAAUAGAUGCCAUGCCAUGGUCCCUAAAUAUCAAUUGGACAUAAGUCAAAUGUGAAAGCAGAAAGGUAUAGGCAACGAAAAAAUGUACUCAUCAAAAUGCACGAAAUUGUAAGACAACUGGAGGUACCCAAACUAAGCUAUUUUAUAAGAUUCACUUUGUUUGUUGUGAUGGAGUAUUGGUUUUGUCACAAAGCCUAAUCGAUGUUGGUGGGGUUCAUUUUUAUUAAAUGCUCUCACUCACUUUCAAUGAUUAGCAUGUACAAUAAUAUUAUUGCACGUAUAGUAGACCCUCUCAUUAAUGCAAAGAUAAUAUAGGCAGCGAGUCACGAUGCUCUAAGAAAUUGAGGAUUCACACUUCUCAUGUUAUGCAACAACCAAUUACCCGGUGAGGCGGUGAUCAAAGCAUAAGCGGACACCAACAAGAUGUUGAUCUAAUGAUGUAAGGUUUUACUGGAUCCCUAAGAUUGAGAGUUUGAUUCAUGUGAGCGACAUUUGUUGGCUAAUCCUUUCUCUAAGCAAAAAGAGUCAAGUAUUAUGGGACUAAUCCUUUUAAGUACCGUUGUUGUAGUAGAAAACAUUGGCGUCUGCCUUAUUUUUUGCGAAUUUCUCAUAUAACGAUUUACCCCAAAUUAACGAUUUCAAGGUUUGUUUAAAGAUGUUAAAAGAAAUAUCAUUAUCUAUAUGAGGACUUUCCAUUUCGUUGCAUGGUUGGAAAUAAUCCACAGAAUAGACUCAGAGUCUCGUGAAUUGUAAGUACGUUAUCAAUCAACCCAACUAGCCAAUAAUUCUCAUAAAUAGUCUCACUAAAAAGUGGUCUACCUACUUUGAAAUUCGAAUUUUCCUCACCUAGUUAAUCAGUAGGACUUAAUUCUAUUAUAUUAGCUUUAUCAAUGUGAAAAUUUGUAUGUCUUAGUUUUUUUAUACUAUUAAGAAUAUUUUUUCAUCUUUUUGAUAAGAAAUUAAUCUCAUUUGAAAUACAUGAUUAUCCCUUCCACUAAAUGUUGCUCACAUGAAUUAAACCAUUGAUCUCUUGAUCAUCCUAUGUAUAUAACGAACCUUGUAUAUGUUAGUUUAUUACUAGUUAAUAGUUGAUACAUUACAAUUAGUUAAUUAUUUUUGUAAAUAAUUUAUUUCAUAAUUAUUUAUUGAUCUAAAAUUUUAUUAUGUAUAUAAAAACAGUAUUAUAUGAUAUGAUAUUAUUUAUUUUAUUAACUUGAUUUUUAAAUGAAAAGUGAAUAAAACUAUUUUAUAAUUAUAAGCAUGUAGUGUUUAUAAAAUUUGCAUAUACUUCCCAUUAACGUGUGUAGAGUUGUGAGGAGGUAUGUUUUUUACCCUUAUAAGAUACCAAGACAUGAAUAGUCUAAAAUUUAUUCCACAAAGAAAAAAAUCUGCUUAUGAAGGUAAUAAUAUAAGUUUACAAAUUUAAUAAGUUGUAUAUACACUUGUAUGAUAUAUAGUUUGUCAUUUUUAAAAUAAAUGGAAGACGUAUUAAAUGAAGCGUUUAACACUUUAGCAAACUCAACAUUUAUAUUUUUAAAGAUAGAAACAAAAUUUAUUAAAAAGAAAUACUUUUAGCAUCAAUGGAAGAACCCUUCACAUCUUUUAGGAAGAGGGGAAGGAAAAUCACACCUAUCUUUUGGUCUUGACGAAUACAAUAUUAGCAAGUGCACUACGUCCAUCAUAUUUCACAUCCCAUAUUUGAUAUUUUGACAUUACUGUGUUUUGGAUCAAAUCAUCAUUUUAGAUUUGUUUUUUUUAUCAAAUCCUCUAUAGAUAUUUUGCUUUUCAAUGGUUGGAUAUUUUGAUGGGAAGCUUGUGUGGGCAUAUGCGUAUGGAGCAAGAGUUGCAUUAUUGUCACUUUACUAAUGUUUGAUUUUGUUAUGAAGUGUAAUGCCUUUUUGAACAAAGAAAUGCAAGUGAUUCACUGAUGGUCAUUUUGAAUUUUGAAUUUAGUGUUUUAAAAAAUAACUGUGGCAAAAAAAAAUGCGAAGGAAUAAUUAAAUCGAAACAAAUUAACAAUGACUAAGGUCUAAGGGUCAGUUUCUUUAAAUUUUGAAGAUUUAUUUCCUACAAACAAACACUUUUGAUAGAAUUGAUGCAUAUAAAGUUAAACGUUUUAUAAAGUGAUUUUUAGAUUGUCCAAGCAUGUUUGGAUAAGUGUGCAUAUGGUCAAAAACACGUUUGGAGUGUUUUUGGAGUGUCGUAAAAUGAAAAGUCCAUUGCAAAUCUUUUCAUGAAACGCGCGUUUGCCACACGUGUCCAAGCUAGCUUUACACAUUAGUUGCCACUUGGGUAAUUUAUAUUUAUUUUUUAUAAACAAAAGAUUAAUUAAAGGCACAAAGGCGUCAACCAACGAGCGUUGGUUCAAGUGGUACAUGCUUGAUUCCCCUUAAGCAAGAACCCGGGUUCGAGUCUUGUGGAUGGAAAAAAUGUCCGUUGGGAGAGUUAGCCCCACUUACUUGUGGAUGUGCCGAAAAACAAGACCCAAACAAUAAAUAAAUAAAUAACUAUGUUUAUUUAUGAUUAUAAUAUAGAGGAAAAAAGUAAUUCAUCUUAAGCUUUACAAAGAUACAUAUUUCCCUAUAAUAAAAGCUUUCUUCAUAAUAUAAACUAGUUAUCCAAAACAAUCUUACCCGAACUAGUAAAACCACAUAUAUAAUUAAGAAAAAAUCAAUAUUCUUCACCUUGCCAGUUUGUAGAAUUGUUAUUUUUUAUCAAGAAAAAAUCAUCACACACAUAUAAAAAAUAUAUAUAUAUAAUCAUUGUUAUGCGGUCUCCACCUAUUUCCCCUCACUAUUUUUUUCCGGGUGGCAUUCCCCACACUAUUUUAGUUAGGUGAAUGGAACAUACUUUUGUUUUUCAUGGCUCUAAGAACAAUGAAAUUAAAAAAUAUAUAUUAAAAUAAUAUAUUUAAUUUUUCAAUACAAAACCAUUUUUUUUAAUUAACCAUUUUCAUAAAACAAUAGUUAGGAAAAGCCAUAAUGCAAAAGGAGGUUUAUAUCAAUUAAUACCUACGUCAUAACUUAAAUUGGGUAUAGACAUGGUAAGUGUACCAUUCAUACACUUAUGUGCUUGCUAAAUGAACCCGUGUCCAAAUAUGGAGUGGUGUGCGACGAAUGAGUGUCCUAAUUGGUCCAUUGCUUAACAAAGUUUUACGUUUGAAGCAGACCUAAGCCUUUGUCUCUGCCGACGCUGCCCUAUUAUUUCAUUUCUUUAUUAAAUUCGAUGCAUCUCAAUAUCACACGUGAUCGAUUAUGUAACUAUCGCACUUUCUACUUCACUCAAUGGUCAAUACUUGCCCACCUUUUUAUCUACUACACUGUUUCCUUCAAUCUGAAUAUUUUUUCCUGUUGAAAUUAUUUUUCUAUAAAAUUAGUUUAAUAUAAAUAUGUAGGAAAACAAUUACACUCUGUUCGGUUGAAGAAAUGAAAGUUAAAAGAAAGAAAUCUAAUAGAAAACAAUGAUUUUUUAGUUGUUUAAAAAAAAAAAUGGAAUGAAACUAUGAAAGAUGUUAAUAUCAAAUGACAUAUAUAUUCUUAUUAUUAUCCAUGACAUAAAAAUGUUUUUAAAUUAUUUGGUUUAAUAUAUUUUAUAUUUUUGCUAGUGAUUAUGUAAAUAUAAAAAAUAUUAUUUUUGAUAAAAUAAUAUACUUUUAACUAAUGGAAUAUAUUUGAAUAAUGAAACUUAAUUUUUGGAAAAAUAAUGGUAGAAUACAUGUCUUCAAAAGUGACUUUUCGUUGUAGAGAGAGAAAAGUUUUAUUUGAGUCUCCUACAUUUUUUCUUUGUUUCUAUUUUCCCUCCUUACAUAAAUGGUGGAAAUCUUUAUAUCAUUUUCCUUCCUCUGUUUUCGUUUCAUCAAUUUUCAUAAAAUCAAACAUAAUAUUACCCUUCAUGAGAUAGUCUAUUUCUUCUUAAGCAAUUAUUCUAGUUUAGUUAGGUUGUAUUUUAAAACUAAUUAGUAAUGAAGAAGUAAUCAUUGAAUUUGAAAUGAAAUAUUGAUAUGACGUUAAUUAGAAUUAGAAUCUAAUUUCUUUUCGAUUGUCAUGAGUCAAAAUAUUUUUUUUUUACCUAGUUCAACAACAUUUUGUAGAUGUUACAUGUUGGAUAAUAACUCUUAUAUCAUCAAUCUCCUUGUCUCAAUUUUGAAAUUGAUUUUUGGAUUGAAUAUUGACUUUUUGUCUAGGUAUGAAAAAAAUCAAAGAAAAGUUAACCAAAUAUUCCAAGGAUGUUCUUAAUUCCAUAAAAAAACUAAAUUGAACCCACACUCUUUACUCUUUUUUUUUGUACUUUAUAGAUAAAUUGAUGUUACUCUUAUCUUCAUCUCUACUUUACAACUAAUUAAAAAAGGAUAAUUAAGAAAAAGUGUAGACUAAGCUUAUAAGUAAAAUUAAUUUAAAUACCCUUUUUUCUUUCCAAUCUCAUUUCAUACUCAAGUGAAAGAUUAGUGCAUUAAUUCGUUAUAUAAGACAUCCACCCACUUGCCUUCGACCCUUAACUUUUGUGGCCUGUGCGUGUCAAUCUCAAAAACCAAUGUGGUCAAAAAAAACCAACUCAAUAAAUUCUCAUAACCAAACCUAAUAUAAGGUAGUACGUUGUGCAAUAUAUGUGGAUCAUAUAUUGUUCUAAUUUGUUCACAUCCUACAAUUUUCAUUCAUGUCAUCAUCAUUCAUCACCUCUUGGCAAGCAUUGAAUUUUAUAUCAUUGUUUCAUGCUUCUAAUAGAAGUUUUGUUUGUUUCUAUGAAUCAUUGAGAACAUCCACCACUAAACUUACAAAACAUUAACCCCAUGAGAUAUGCGUGGGGAAACUCAUAUAGUUGGCACCGUCCCGAUAUGUUCUUUGAGAACUUGAAAACGUUGGAAGAUAAAAAAAAUUGAGUGUAGAGAAAGGCAAGGUUAAACAAAGGAGAGCAAAAAAGGAAAAUUAUAUGUAUAUCAGUUAUCAUAUUAUAUUUAUAAUUCUGCAUGAUGAAGUAAAAUAAUUUUUAGAGUAUAUUUUUCAUUUUAUUAUUUAAAACUAGUAUAAAAUAUCUAUGUGCAUGUUUAUAAACACGUCCUUAUUAUAAUCAACCAUUUAAAACGUUUUGGCUGUUCUUUUAUAAUACAUUUUACAAUUUCUCUGAAAUAAUUGUCUCUCUUAUUUACACUUAUUAAAUGUGUUUUUUGUAAUAGAUUCAACUUUUGUAUAUACUAUAUAGUACUUUAAAAAAAGCCUUCUGAAUAGAAGCAAAACAAAAACUCCAAAAGUUGAUUAAAACAAAAAUCAAGAAUGUUAAGUACUUUAUGUUUCUUAUACAAGAAAACACGAACCUCAUUGAAUGUAAUAAAUACAUGGAGUUAGGUUUGUUGUAUAUUUUCCUAAUAUGCUGUUUAGCUAUACUAUUAUUAAUUUUUACUGCUACUUACAUAAAUAAAAGUAAUGUUAAAUAGAGAUAAAAUGGAAAAAAAGUACUUGAUCUGUUUCUUCAACCUCUAAACAAGAUAUAUAAAUAGUAAAAAAAGAAAUACUAAAAGAAUAUAUAACUAGGAAAAGAAACAUUACUUAGCUUCUAUUGAGAUAUGUAAAUCAUAUAAUAAUUAUCAUAGAAACUGGUUGGCAAGAGACAAAAUCACAGUUUUUGACCUUUAGCAUUUUCCUCUUAAAUUCUAUCAGUAAUCGUAAUUGAAAUUUGUCCAUCUGUUCAUCAAAACUCGUUUUAUGUUUUAAAAUACUACGAUCACAAAUAAACCUUAAAAAUCAUCAACUCUCAUGUAUACAUAUCCAUCUUAAUUAUUCUUACAAACAAGUAAACAACCUAUUAGUAUUACUUUAAAAAGUUGUGAUGUACUGAUGUACAGAACAUAAAAAUAAAAUAAAAAAGUUUCAUUAAAGGAAUCUUCUGACACACUCUUCCUAGAACUCUGCUCUAUGCAUAUAUGACGUCAAGUGCCUCAAACUCCAGCAUGGACCCCUUCCUACUCUUUUCCAACUUCAAUUAUUAGGUCCAUUCUGACCGCUGGAUUGUAAUCCAAAGGUACAGAUAGCGUGUACAAUUCCCCAUGGGACCCACACAAUAUGUUCAAACAGAUAAGUAUUUAUUGUCCCAAAUUAUAUGUUAAAAUAUAUUUUAUACUAAUAUUAAUAAAAUAAAAACAAAAUAAAUAAUAUUUUUUUAAUUUACAUAAUAUCAUUAAUAUCUAAUAUGAUUUGAGAUAUAAUUUGGGACAAGAAAUUCACACGAUUUCAAACAUGCGCGUGCUAAACCAUUCUAGGGAUUGUGAAAUCAUGUCUCACCAGAGUGAACUUAAAAGUUAAAACAUUCAAAACAAAACCAGAGCCCAAACGCCAAGGCCCCGUCACCGUAAACGACCACGUCAUACUAAUUCAAUCUGUUACAUGCUGGCAACAAGAAUCCAAUGAAAACCCACCACGUGGAAACUCACGAUGUUGACAACAUCCUCAAACAGCUGUCUCCGUAACCCAGUAGUUAUAUAAACACCCCUUGCCAUGUACUCAUAUCAUAACUCAUUUUUAUUUCAUUUCUCUCUAAAAUACUUAUCUUUAAACAUGGUUGUUUCUAAUUACAAGAUUGCCACCAUGUUGCUUUAUGCAGUGUUGGCCCUUCAGUUCCUUCCAACACCCACAGUGAGUGAGCUUGUACAAGAGCAACCACUUGUUCUCAAGUACCAUAACGGCCAGCUUCUGAAAGGACAGAUCACCGUUAAUCUAAUCUGGUACGGUUCCUUUACCCCAAUCCAACGUUCCAUAAUCGUCGACUUCGUUAACUCCCUCUCAUAUUCCUCAUCUUCAAUCCCCUCUGCUUCAUCGUGGUGGAAAACAACAGAGAAAUAUAAAGGAGGAUCCUCUGUGCUCGUCGUAGGAAAACAGUUCCUGCACCCUGCUUAUACACUCGGUAAAAAUUUGAGGGGGAAAGACCUUCUUGCCCUUGCCUCUAAGUUCAACGAGCUUUCCUCUAUAACUGUUGUGUUAACUGCUAAAGACGUUGCAGUUGAAGGGUUUUGUGUGAGCCGGUGUGGGACCCACGGGUCGAUUCGUUCUGUUAAUGGGAAGGUAAGAAGUGCUUAUAUUUGGGUUGGGAACUCUGAGACUCAGUGUCCGGGGCAAUGCGCGUGGCCGUUUCACCAGCCGUUAUACGGUCCUCAGACGCCGCCGUUGGUGGCGCCUAACGGGGAUGUUGGUGUUGAUGGGAUUAUUAUCAACCUGGCUACUCUUCUUGCUGGCACCGUGACAAAUCCGUUCAACAAUGGGUAUUUUCAGGGUCCGGCGACGGCGCCGCUGGAGGCAGUUACAGCUUGUACUGGUGCUUUCGGAAGCGGGUCGUAUCCUGGUUAUCCGGGUCGGGUCAUUGUGGAUAAGGUUACCGGAGCAAGUUUCAAUGCGCAUGGCGCGAAUGGAAGGAGGUUUCUGUUACCUGCGAUGUGGGACCCUCAGACCCAAGCAUGUAAGACUCUUGUGUGAAUGGUGUUGAUGUAUGACACGUGGAAUGAUCUUGUGAUAUGGGUUGGUGGUAACGUUAGCAGAAGAAGAUGAUGAUGAUGGAAUUGUGACUAGAUUGGGGAUGGGAAGGAGUGUGUAAUUUGUAGCUGCUUUUGUCGUUUAAUGUGACUUGUAAAUUCUGUUUCUAAAGAAUGAAAAAAUGUUAUAAAUAUGGAAAACGAGCAAUAAGAAAAUGGGGGUAUAUUAUAAUGUUUUAAUUUAUGUGAAGUAACUAGUUACAUUACUUUGUUUUUUAUAAAAAAAUAUGAGAAUGGAAGGUGGCUAUGAAAGGAGACAUUGAUAGGGAGAAGAGGUGGGGCUCAUUUUUGUUUUUAAUGUUACUGGUAAAGGAGUGAGUGAUUUAUCUUGUGGUGUUGGGGACCAGUGUGACCAUUAUGGCAAGAGAGAAAUCAUGAUGACAUGGAUGAGGUGAAGUGAAUCUCAUAGUCUGUACUCUGUAGGUGAUGUCAUUGUAUGGAUGGUUUUGGUGGGUCCUCUUACUCUGCAAUCAUGCUUUCGGAUAAGGUUCAGUGUGUGUGUCUUGCUGAAUGUGAGAUUGGGGUGAAAUAUCUUGGCCAAUUUUUUUACCAGUUCUUAAAAAAAAUGUUAGUCCUCUUCCCUUGAAAAUGUGAUAUUAGCAAGGCUUCCUUGUCCCUUCCCUACUUUUCAAAUUAACCAGAUCAGAUGGUGGGUGCUGUAUGUUCCCUUUUCAAAAAAGUGGAACUUGAACAAAUUUAAGGGAAAAGACUAAUGGAUCUUGAUAUUUUAUGCCUUCAAUAUGGUUGCUGGUUAUUUGGGUUUUGAGCUUAGUAUCUAUGCACUCACAUUCUAACAAAUUUUUAGCACAUCAUUAUUCAACAUCCUUGUUAAUACACAUGUUAAUACACGUACGACCACAAACUCCAAUACCAACCUUCUGCAAUAACAGUGUGAUGCAUACUCAGUGUUUUAAGUGUCUUUAAAAACUCAUGCCACAAGCUAAUGUGUUGGCUAUUAAUGUUAUUAAGAAACACAAGUACUGUAUAGGGUGGUCAUGACUCACGAUAUUUGGUCACUAUUAACGGAUACUGCAUUGAAUUGGGCCUUCCCUUGUUAUUACCUCUCUGCAACUGUAAAAUAAUAAUAAAUGCAAUUUAAAUAGACUGAGAAGCAUCCAUUAUGAGUGUGGUAGCUUGAGCUCAAGUCAUAAUAAAUGUUUUGACCUACACUUCAAUUAAAUGUGAUCAGUGAAACUGAGAUGAAGUCAAGGUUGAAAUUUCAGGACAAAUUAUACAGAUUGUUACAAAUACAACUGAGGAUCGGAUUUUCAUGAAGAAAACUGAGGAUACCUCAUUGCUGAUGGAACAACUUAUAGCAUAUUACGAAUUUGUGGGGAAAUGGCAACUUAAAGACCAAUAUAUUGACCACUUUAACGAUUGAAUACUUUUGCAUAAAACAUUUUAAUUUAUUACCAAUACCAAAGCAAAGCAGAAGAAAACGCCAUAAGCUUACAGGUUUCAUCCUCACAUAACCAACUACAUCAUUCUGUUCUAGGUGUUCAGACAAUUCCCUCAUACUGAAUGCCUGAAACAUGAGCCAUGAUACUAUACAAGAGUACCUGAGUCGGUUAUCAUUAUGUCCAUCCAUCCAUCAAUUAGUCGAUAUAUUUAUUUCAACAUUCAACAGCGAAUUGGACAUUCAAUAAUAGGGGUUGUACCUCAUACCCAUUCUGAACCUUGGAACCUUUCUACAGUUAACAAAGAAAAUGAAAUAAGUCAAUUAUUAUAGCAAAAAGAAAAACACAAUGGAAAGGAGAAAAGUGAAUACAACAUACCCAUAUCCAUAUGGAGCAUAGGCAAAUGGGGGUGCAUAUGGGGCUCUGCCUCGAAACCCCAUGUAAGGAUUGGGCCGGCGGGCACGAAACUGCUUCAUCCCUGGUACAUUUGUCCUCUUGGCAGUUACCUGCAAAAGGUCAAAAAUAAUGAAGAUGGUGAAAAAAAGGAAAGUCGUAUAUUUUUGAAGAGCAGAGACCUCUUCUAUCUAACCUUCAAUUGGCGUCCAUGUAGUUCAGAUUCAUUCAACAAAAUAGCUUCUUGAACAGCCUCUACUUCAAGAAACUCUACAUAUGCAUAACCCUUGGGUUGGCCAAAUUUAUCAGUGCGAAUGGUGACUCGGUUUACUGUUCCACAAGAUUGGAAAUGCUGCUGCACUUCUUCAGGAGUACAAGCAUAGUCAACCUGUGGAAAAUAUCAAAUCCGAACAUGUUUCAAGGAGUACAAGCAUAUGAUGGAAAAGGCAGAAGUGAAGCCUAAACAUUUUAUUAGAAGGUAGAACAAAUUUUCAAGUGAAAAUUAACAUCAGCCUUGAUGUUUAAAAAUUGAGAGCCACCACUUUCUCGUUUUGUUUUGCAAAACCAGAUGCACUUAUAACUAGACAAUCAUGUAAUGUUUAAUUACAAUAAGUUUUUGAAAAUCCAGCCAGCCUACUCAUCAAAAAGCUUAUAUAAUAAAAAGAUAUUUAUAGGAUUUUUCUUGUUAUAAGUCAUUUGUCAAUCACAAAAGUAGGAUCAAAACAAUGAAGAACAAAGUUCUUUGGCAGGAACUGCUUGAGACCCUUCUCGGAAGCUCCAAACUACCCAAUGCCAAAAUUACUUCUGACAAUGUAUUGUUACAAACCAACUUAAAAGGAAACGAUUUAGGGCAAGGCAAUCAAUUGCCACUAUUUAGCCAAUUAAUUUCCAACUGUUUGUCCAUGAUAAUAGUUGACAAAUCAUGCAUUGCAAAAUGAACAAUCAUGUAAUAUAACUGUUGCCAAUGUAUAUGAUCUGCAAUCAUCAUUAGGUUAUCAGACAUCCAGUCCACUCCGAGUUCUACGGCUCUAUGCAGAUAUAAAGGUAGACAAGUUUUGAAUUUUAGUUCAAAAAUAAGAUAUUACAAAGGAAACAAAGGUAUCAAGGAACCAAAAUCAAAGUUAGUGUCUUGCAUAACUUGUCCUCUUCUUUUAAGCUUCUUCCCUUUUCCCACUUAUUUUCCUCCAGUUUUUGUUGUGAAUUAUAUAAAACAUGAGUAGAAAAGAUUAAAAUUUCCUCUUGAUCCCAAGGAGGAAAAUAAGUGUUAAAGACCCCUCACCAUGGGAAAACAAUGCCUACAUGUUACAUGAGCACUAGGCACCACCAAAAGCAUCCUUUGGAUUUGCAAUCACAAUGACAGAUACCAAUGCACAGUCCUUUACCUAUAAAGCAUGUUCUCUUUUCAUCAUAAGGAAUCCAAGUUUUAGACCUACCACAGUAACUUUGGAAGUAUACUAAUUUAAACUUACUAUCGUAAAGACCUCUCUUUUUCACUCUAAAUUAUAGACAGCUUUCCUCAACAACUAACUCUUCGGAGCAUUUUUAUCAUGUCUAUCCCAUCAACACCUAAUCUUCUAUUUGGUUUCAAAAGCAAAGUACAUACAUAAUUACAUAUAUAUAUAUACAUAUACAUUGACUCAUAAUUGAAUCAAUCACUUCAGGAAAAAGAUAAAAUAAGUUAAUCUCAUUAAUAUAUUCAGGUCAUAUUAUGAAUCAUGACAAUAAGGCAACUAACUGAGCAGAAUUGAAAGCAUUAAUAUAAACAGGGGAAGAAGUAACUCACAUUGCCUACAAAGACUGAUCGUGAAUCUACUUCCUCUUUAUUGACCUGACUUGGAGCAGCAUUAGCAGAAUCUAUUUCAAGAUAAGAAUCAAUAAUAGAACAAGAUUCCAAGAAUAGUUGGUAACGGAAAGUCUUGCACAUUAAGCAAGUGCUAGGAAAUAUAAAACGAACUCAAUCAUUUUCCCUAAUCAAACAACUCGAUAAGUAGCCAAGAACUCCUUCAAAAUUGAAAAUAAAAGUUGACAGAAUUUCAGCUCGCUUAAGUUAGUGCUAGGAAAUAUCUUAUCAUUUCAUAACCAAGUAAAAACAAGUUUCCCAACCUCUAAGCGAAACUCUUCAGUUUUAGUCGACAAACAAAUCGAUCACUAGACACGCACAAUGCAUUACCAAGCAAAAGGCCAAAUCCUAAUUUGCCAAUACAUUAUAAAGUAUAAACCAUAAAAUCACUAAUAGGGUAUUCACUGAUGUGAAACAAAUAAACCACUGCUAAUUCCACAUUAAGCAUAGCCAUUCAACCCAAAUCACAUCAAAUACAUAUCAUUUCACAUAAACAACGAAAAAUUCAACCACAGGGAUAUACUUAACGGAUUGAAGUAACCAAAAAAAAUAGUAAAUUUGAAACGAAUUAAGCAAGCUUAAACAAAAAAAGAAACCUCCUUGAACAGAUCCCAUCUCUUUUUCAACCUUGGCCUGCAUUUCCCGUAAAGCAGCAGCUUCAUCUUCCAUUUCCUUCAAGCGUUUCUUCAUCUCAUCCAAUUCCUGUAAUCAUUACAAUGUGGCAUUGAUACAUGAACCAAUUAGGGUUUUAUCAACGUUGAAUUGGAAACAAAUUAGAAAUGGAAAGCAUUACUGCAUACAACUACGGUGUUGUCUUCUCCGACCAUAUCAACGUCAUCGUUUUCCAUGUUUUCGUCAGUGUGGGUCGAAACCUGCGGGAUUUUUUUAUUCCGUUUUGUUUUCCUUGCAAUCCCCACACUGUGAACAAAUCAUGGGUUUGAAUAAUUACGUUAUUUUUUUUAAAACGGAUUAGGUAUUUUAUUGAUUUAUUUCAUCUUUUACAUCUCCUUUCUUUCUAUAUAAGACUACACUUAAAUAGCUGAUAUAUGAAUAUGAUAAACAUUUUUCUUCAGACCCACCCAAUAUAUUAUUUUGUAUUUAUUACCUUCUUUUUUCAUAACAUUGUUUUUAAACUUUGUGCUUGUAUAGUUGAGGUUGAUCUCUUUUGAGAUGUAUAAAUAAUGUGAAUUUGUUUAUACAAAUAAAGCUUUUUAUAUAGCUAAUGGAUAAAAAAUAUCUAGUAUCAUAUUUAAGAAAAUCAAUUAUUUACCAAUUAUGCUUGCAUGUUGGUUGUUCUUAAGUUAACCUUUUUAAACGUGUAAAUUUAUUAGAGAUGUCUCUUGCUCCUUCCCUUGUGGGAUCAUAGUUCUUAUUUCUUAACCAUUUGCCACCCAUAGUUUAUUAUACUAUAAGGAACUAAUUAAAUUUUCCAAAAAAAGUUUUAUUGAUGGAUUUAGAUUCUCUCUUGUUAAAGAAAGGUAUGAUAGUUGCACAAGUAAGAUGCAAGACUGAAACUUAACAGUUCCAUCACCAAUAUCUACAUCAGAAUAGAAGUGUUGGUUUGUAAAAUAACAUGCAUGAAUAGAAGUUGGUGCUGAAGAAUAAGACAUAUGAUAACCUUUCAUGUAAUGAGUGGUCCUUGCCAAGGAUAACAGCCAAAAUUCAUUUAAAUACUCACACCAAAUAUAGUAAAUAGAAACAAAGUUUGUCCAGAAAUAUAAAGAAACACCAGCACAGAUUUGGUAUGCAGGGGGAUUAUGUAAUAAUCACAUCAUUGGGAAUUGGCUUGAUAACUUCAAUUUCAAUCAAAAAGUGUUUCAUAGCAGCAAAUGUUGGCCUUCUAUGCUGUUAAUCAACUACGGGCUAUCGACGAAGUUAAAGAGGAGUGUCUAGCUAUUGGAAACAGCAUUAGACUUGUUCUCUGAUUGCUAUCAGUGUCAUAUUGUAUCUUCAACCUUAUUUGGCCAUGGAAAGGAGAAUAAAAUGAAGUGUGUUUCGAAAACCUCCAUCGGAAUAGAGAUCUAGACCCCAAAACAUAUUGACAUUGCACCACACAAGCUUUGCAUUGUUUAUCCUCUUGACCAAAUCCCAUCGUGCACAUAACUUCCUUAUACCACAAGCCAAUCCUCAACUGAAUACUGGCCUUGAUGUAAAUGUUGUAUUAACCAUUCUAGCCACUACUAGUCCAAAAGCCAGUGCAGCACCAAACAAAGUAUGUAACCUCACACAGAAGUACUUAGCCAUGAAAAUCUUGUUUUUGUCCUGUAAGAAUAAGCUUAGGUUUAGUAGCAAAUUUCAGGAAAAAUAAUAUGUUAACAAAGACUCAUAAACUGUAUUUCACUUGCCGCGUAGUUGUCUUGGACAAAUCUGACUACCAGGUUUCCCAUUGGUACAGUCAAGGCACAAAGGAACUAGGAUGACCAUAUAUGCAGACAGAAUAAAUCAUAAGCAUGAGCUUCAGAAUUGCAACUACACCCAAAAAUAAGGGUAGAGGUAAAAAGUAACAUGCAUAAAGUUGGUUGUUCUACAAGUACAUACAAUGCAAGUAAGAGGAAGAGCCUUGCUUAGACCAAAAGCAAUCAAAAGAGCAUAGAGCAACAUGACUGCCACUUUCACUACUUCUGCACCUCUUUUGGUGCCAAGUCUAACCUGAAAGUGAAAAUGAGAAAGCAGUAACACAGAGAGGUUCACAUCAUUAACAUAGAUAAGAAAAAUGUUUGGUCCAAAGUGAUUCUACCAAAGGUGACAGUUUUCCAACUUCUUUGUCUUCUUCCACCUGAGUUGUGCAUUAGAAAUGUCACCUACUUGAAGUUUCUCAUAAACAGAAUUGGGAAUUCAGAAACAAAUUACCUGAUGGAAAUGACUACAGAAUAGGAUAAGGGAUGUUGUGAAACCAACAAGAAUUGAAGCUGAAAGAACUGUUCCAGUUAAGGGGAAAUGGUUCAUCACACUGCCAAAAUCAUUCAGAAUCAGCAAUAAACCCAUGAAAAUAAAAUAUAAUGUGACAUUUGUAAUCAGGUAACUGAGAUAACCUUGCACCGCCUUGUAAUAAAUAAAAAGCACAAGUGGCAAAAGGACCAAAUGCUGCAAAGCACAAGGGCUCUCCAAGCCCCUGGUAACUUAGCCGAAAUGGUGGGCACUGCAACGACAAUGAAUCAACCCGAAUUUGAGAGUUAACUUAUGAUUCUGAAUAACUUUCCAAUAUGAUUCUAAUAUCAGCAGAAAGUUGUACCUGGUAUAUAUAGCCACAAAUAAUUGCAGAAGCAAGAAACAAUAUUGAACGGAUAUUUCCGGCCUCAACAGCAAUCCAAGUCAGCCCAAUGAAGCCAAAUGCAAGGCAUAAGUAGGAAGCAAUGAAGGUUCCUGUGCGGCUUUCCAAAUUUAACACAAAGAACAAACAAGCUUAUUUAUUAUUUUAUAUCAAACAUAGAAGAAAAAUAAAAUAGACAAACAAAAAACACAAGUUUGAGAGAAACUCACCUACCAACCAGAUUUACAACUGAUUCCUUUUUGUUCUUGUCAGCUCCAGUGUCAAAAUCAUAAACAUCAUUGCUGCCAUGGCCACAUAUAAGAAAUGACUAACAGAAGAGAAAUUAAUCAUUUUUUUCUAGAACUUGGCAUGCAUCAAAAUGUAUGAAAGGAAAGAAAAGAAUUGCAGUGAAGAAUGUAAAGAAGUUUAUAUUUGACUGAAGUUAUGGAGACCAGAAAGUCUUACACUGGUCACUGAAAUGUAUUCACAUAUUUGACUCACUAUAAUGUAUAAACAAAGAGAUUUAAUGGUACUGAACAAUCAUUUACAUUUAUUUUUCAUUCAUCAAGUCCCUGAAAACAGUAUUGAAAUUGAAAGCUACCUUAAAUUGAGCCAGGUAAUCACAAGAAUUGAAGAAGCCAAGAGAACAAAAUAACAUCUAGCUGAAAACAUGCCUGUUUGCAAAUAAGCUGCUGCACUCCCUACCUAUUCGUGGAAAUUAGUAAAUAAAUUAGAGACAGGCUCACACGUUGGAUAAUGAUAUAGAACAAAACUACCAAACCGAUAAAAAUGACGACCUAGUGCACGAAGCUCUGAUGCAUUGCUAAAAAUGGCAUGAAUUUCCAAUCACAAAAUAUAACAAGUUCUAAUUCAAAUAACCUAUAAUAUGUAAAUGGGUUCAAAUUAAGAUAGGAAAGCAAGUAACAUGACUUGAAGAAAAUCUUCUUAAAAUACUCACAGUGAGAGGAACUAAUGCAACAGAGUAUAUGGGCAACUUGAUAGCCCUCCAAAUCAAGGUUCCCUUUGAAAUAUCAUCUCCAACGUUUUCAAAGCUAGUAGGGGAUAACUCAGCUCCUCUUGCACAAGCCACAUGUUGGUAUGAGGUCCUUCUUUCAAGCUGCAAUAUUCUUAUAUAUCUCCAAUGGAAGACUAUUCCACCAUUGUAUGUUGAUAUUUUGGAUUGCAUAGAAGAUGAACCUUGCCUUUUGAAGUAGCUAUGCUUCUGAAGAUACUCAUUGUGUUUGUUGAAACCAAAAGCUUGAGUGAGGUUACAGUAUGUAACAGCCAUUUACAUCAAUGCAUUCCAAAACCCAAUCUUUUCAUGUCUAUUUAUAUGAUUUAUAUGAUAGCAAAGUAGAAAAGAAAAGUAUAAUAGAUAAGUGAAACUGAAAGUUGUAACACUUUAGAUUCUGUGUUUGCUUUUCCAUGGAUCCUUAACUAGAGCAAUCCUAUCUCAUUAUAAUCCAUACAUGGACCACUAGAAUGAUGCCAUGUAAGAUUACUUGGUUAGUAUGGCCCACUUUAUUAUAACCAACAAGAACAAGGUAUACUCAUAAUAGGGGAGAACCACCCUUUACCCUUAAGUCAAUUUAUAAGAAGAAAAUAUUGUUGAACUGAAAUGUUGUCUAAUAAAUUGUAUGUGAAUUUAUAAAUACCAAGUAUAAGUGUAUAACCAACUGUUAUUCUUAUAAAAGUUACAUUUAUCCUGGUAUAAUUGGAAAAAAUAGCAACUCAGAUAGUAUUGUGUUCAAUAUAUAAAAUAUUUAUUCUCCAUCUUAAGGUUAUGGAAAGGAAAUAACUGUAUGUUGAAUUAAAGUUGAAUUUGAUAAUUAUUUUUUUGAACAAUUAGGUUCAAAUUUAAUUUUUUUUUCAAACAUACUUUAGCUUUUAAUAUUUUUCUUAGUUAAAAGAUUUGAAAACAGCUUUUGUGUAUUUUGGUCCAAUAUGUUCCGCGUUCUGACCAAGGGAAGAUUAUUUCAACCCUAAAAGAAUUUAUCAAUAUAAUUGGAAGGCAAAAUGAUUGAAGAAUCGAGAAAGAAAAAAAUUAAGAAAACCAUUAUUAAUAUUUGGUUGAGAAAAUCAUUAUUAAAUAGAAGGAUUUGGAAAGAAAAAGGGUUAAAGUUGAAUAAUUUUGGAGGAUUAAAAUUAGAUUAAUGAUAUUCUUUUUGUAAAGUUCUUCUACACCAUAACAAAAAUGAUAUAUGUCACUUAUAAAUUAAUUAUUAGUAGAUAGAAUAUUAAACUAUUUUUUCUUAUAUUAUGAUAUAUGAAGAUUUGUAAGAGAAUAUAUAAUUUUCACAUAAUAAAAUUAAUAAAAACUAAUUGAGUAUAUUAUGAAGUUGCAGUAAUAUUAUUGUACUGAAACUCCUUAAUUUUCAUGAAAUUGGUUUGAUCUCUUAAUUUUCACAUAUAUAUAUAUCUUCAUCAUAUAAAAACAACAAAUCUUUAUAUGGAUGUUUAAAAGAUAUACUUAAUGCACAUACGAUGUAUCUACUGUUGUUUAUAUGACAGUAUUCAAUUUCACUAGUAUGAAGGGACAAUUUGUUAUGUGAAUUCUGGAUAUGACAUUAUUGUUAAAAAUACAUGUAUUAUUUUUAUUGUAUAAGAGCAUACAAGUAUUAUAAAUGAGAGGACACCUGGUGAACUAGUUUUCUAAAUGAGGCAGUGAAGAGCAAAAAAAGGGUCCUCUUGACCGGUUCUCCUUUCUCUUUUUCAACUUAAACAUAAAAUCACUUUUCAGCUUUUUUCAGACAUCCUCUUAUGCUGACUCUCUUAAUCCUCUUUUUCUGCACAUAGGAAAAGGAAGAAGAAGGAUAAGAGAAAAAAUAAGAAAAAGAAAAGCACAUGCAUAAUAUAUAACGUGAAACAUAAGAAAGUUGUAACAUAUAUAAAAAUGUGGGUGUUCUAUAUGCUUUCAUUGCCUCUAACUAUAGGCAUGGUCAUUUUUACAUUGAAAUAUUUUUCUGGACCUGAUGUACCCAAAUAUGUGUUCUUCACCGUUGCAUAUACAUGGUUCUCUUCCUUAUCCAUCAUUAUACUUGUCCCUGCUGAUAUAUGGACGGUAUUUCCAUACUAGUUCAAGUUUCAUUAUUAUGUUUUACAUUGCACUUGAAAUUCAAUAGAAUAAUACCCUUUUAAUGUUUAUUAAUGGUUCUGUGUUGUUUGUUUCAUAAGCCAUUUGACAAGGAAAUAAGUUAAUAAGACAUUGCAGUUGAAAUUCAACAGAAUACCUUUUUAAUAUAUUUCUUUUACUUUUCAAUGAGUUUUGCCCUAACAUAUCCCCUAAUGGUAAAUAAAGCAAUUCUUAAAUGAAAAAAAGUCAAUGGUAUUUGGAAAUGUAACAAAGUUUCUUCAUCAGACAUUAGGAGGAUUUAUACUUAAAAUUUUGCUAAACAUUCCCUUCAGAAAUCCAAAAGUGCAAAAUUAACAUUGAGAAUGGUGUAUUUAUUAGAAUAACAUUAGUAUUUUUAGUUUUCCAACAUUGACUUUGCACUUUUAUCUCCUUAGGGCAACUUUUAGAACCUUAUUAUUAUUAUUUUGAAUAUUAUAUUGUUUUAAGCUCAUUUCCUUUCAUUGAUAGACACUACAUGGUGAUCAAAAUAGAGCAAUAUCCUUCUUUUGGAGUUUGUCAUAUUGGAGUACCUUCUUACUUACAUGGUAAGCUCCUUCCUUUUUAUAAUGCUCUAAAGAAUUUGAUCAAUUCCUCAACAAUUGAGUAUGCUUAUAUAAUUUUUUUUUGAGCCACCCUAGUUAUCCUUUAUCAUCUUAACAUGUUACAUAUGCACAUACACUAGCAUAGGGAGAAAUAAGAAGAACCAGCUUGAAGACUUUAAGCAUGUAGAAUAAUCCACUUCUUAUGGAAUAGAACUGACUUUUCAUAAUUGAUAUGAAUUUGUGUAUGGCAUAUGAUAUUUAAUUUGCUUGAUUUUGUUUAUGGUAUGAAUCAAUUAGGAUAUUUAUAGCAGGCAGGUAUCAGAAACAUGCACUCAUAGUUCUGUAUUAAAUCAUUUCUCUAAACAGGACUGUGGUUCCCACUCUUCAGGGUUAUGAAGAUGCUGGAGACUUUACUGUCAAAGCCAGAUUGAGGACCAGCAUACAUGGAAACCUAGUUUUCUAUCUGUCUCUUGGUGCUGUUGCACUUUUUGGACUGAUUUUACUAAUCAUCUUACACAAGGAUUGGUUUGCUUCUUUCUUUCUUUCUUUCUUUUAGAUUUGUUAUUAUUGUCCAUGUCUUUUCUUGAAUUCUUUCUUUCUUACUUUCUUUCUUUAUUUCUGUCUGUCUUUCUUUCUUUCUUUAUUUCUGUCUGUCUUUCUUUCUUUCUUUCUUUCUUUUAGAUUUGUUAUCAUUGUCCAUUUAUUUUCUAGAAUCAAUGAAUGUGGACAUUUCUUUUGUUUCCACUCUGCCAAUUUUUUUCACUCACUACAUUAUUUAAGGAUCUAUAUCCUUGGUAAUUUGCAGGAGUGGUAAUAUUAUGGGUGUUGCCAUGGCUUGCUCUAAUACAUUUGGACUAGUUACUGGUGCAUUUCUACUUGGAUUUGGUUUGAGUGAAAUUCCAAAAGGCAUUUGGUUAAAUUCAGAUUGGAACAUUCAGCAAAAAGUUCAUUCCCAUAAAGUUGCAAAAAUGGCCGUCAAAUUAGAUGAUGCUCAUCAAGAUUUUUCAAAUGCUAUUGUGGUAAGCUAGCCAUACCAAUUGCCUAUCACGAUCUUUCCCUGGAAGUACCAUUUAAUAAUUUUGCAUAGUGAAGUUGUUAUAUAAGUUCAAGCAUUUUUCUCUUUCGAAAUGAAGUAGAAAAAGAAAAAAGCUAGCAUGUAAAGAUUCGGUAUUUAUGUUAUGUUAUGGAAGUUGAAAGGUAAUAUGUAUAAUUUUGUAGUUCAAGGUUUCAAGCUCUUCAAAAUCUAGCAAUUUAACAUGAACCGAAGUUUGUGUCCUGCAAUAUUAAACAUAAUUCUUGUUAUCAAUCUAUAUUCAAUUUUGUGCAGGAAUAUCAAUUAUGUUUACUUUUCCUGCAUUCUACUGGAUAACUUCCCUAUCUACAGAGAUUUAGUGAAUGAUUCUAUUCUGAAAUAUGGUGUACAUAUUAAUGAAUCAUAUAAAAUCCACUGUCAUAAUAAAAAGAAAUACUUUCCUUUCUACCCUUCAUUCUUUGCAGACAUGAUUUUUGAUGGUGUGCCAUUGUCAGAUCACACAAGCAACAUCAAAGCAGAUGUCCAAGCGUGAUCCUUUGAAACCCUACAUGAAUAUAAUUGACAAAAUGUUGGCUCAGAUGGUAAAUUCUUCUCUGUGUAUGCAUACAAGUGUUUUGAAUCAAAAUGUUUUAUUGCUAGGUGUUUAUGUAUUUAUCUUUUUAUAGUUGAAGGAAGACCCUUCAUUCAAACCACAGGGUGGGAGGCUAGGAGAAAGGGACAUGGAUUAUGACACAGAUGAGAAGUCUAUGGCAUCACUAAGACGCCAUCUUAAAAGAGCUCAUGAGCAGUAUUAUCGAUAUAGAAGGUAGACACUUGACACUGAUCUAUUUGGUAUAAAAAUUGGUAGAGGGUUCUGAAUUCUAAUCAUUUUGGACCUAUGAUGAUCAUAUUUUUAUGCAGCAAGUUUUGACUUCAAGCUUCAUUUUCUGUUUCCACUUCUAGACCCUUUCUUUUUAUGCCCUUGAAUUAAACAUCCUUCAGUUUACAUCAUUGAGCUAUGCAUCUUUGACUAGAAAAGAGUUUGAUAGCUUCAUUUCUUUCUUUCUUUUUUAUCUGCUUGAUAGCUUCAUUUUAGACAUGCCAUCAUUGCUUCACAACAUACAAUGAUACUUUUCCGAGUUACUCUUGUUUUUAUAUAUACAUGUUAUCUUCAAGUGCUAAUUACAAUUAUUAUUUGCAGUGAAUAUACAAAUGUUGUUCUAGAAGCCCUUGAGCUGGAGGAUACCAUAAAGAACUAUGAGCGUCUUGAUUCUACAGGAUGGUUUGCUCCUAACUACUGUCACUUUUCACUUUUCACAUUGUUGUGUCUAGUUUGUACUCUUCUCUAGUGAACAGUAGGGAAUAUAUACAGAUUCUCAGUAACACAGGAUGGUUUAUGCAUCUUUUAUGAGGGAGGGAAUAGUCCAAUAUUUCCGAUUGGUUGCACCAAUUAUGUGUUGAUUUUAGUCUAAAAAAUCAUUGGUUUAGGAGGAAGUUCUAGAGAAAUAUGCAUUGUUUCUUAAGCAAGUUAAACACAUCUAAAAUGAUGUUAAUCCAAAGGAAACUGUGGCAUUCUAUGAUUCUUGUAACUUAUUAGUAAAAAUCUUGGAAAAAAGGUUUGCUAUCUAUAGGGAAAGAAAACCUGACCUGAUUAAUUUGGGAUAUAAUCUUGUGGCUUAAGAUACUAAUUGGAGUUUGUUUUUCAGCUGCCAGUGUUAUAUUUAUAAAGCAAUAGAUAUGCAGUAUCUCUAUAUUAUUACUUAAAGACAUAUUACCUUAUUAUUGUAGGAAAUAUUUUUCAUGCUUGAGGCCUGAACGAGUAGGCAGAAUAGGUGCACUUUUGGAUACAAUUGGUACUCACCACUUACUACAUUGAUGUUCUCUUUCUUCUAUUCAAUGGUACAUUUAUGUGUUAUUUUCUCAAUGGAAAACAAAGUAGGAUGUUCCAUAAAACUAGCCACCUUCAAGUUGAAUUUAACUUACCAAUGACCAUAUGUGUUAAGGUGGUAACUUAACUCUUCUCAAUCGCGGAGCACAUUAGAAAUUAAAUCUCUCUUCCCAAAGAUUAUUUCCCAAGCUACUAUAUGAUUAUGGUGAUAUUAAAGUUAUAAAUCGUUACUAGCAAAUCACUUUUCUUUUACAAAAUUAAUAGUGGUUAAUUUUUCACAACUUUUUUCUUAUUAUAUACUAAACAGAACAACUAUAUCUGCCUGAAAUAUUGAUUUAUCAGAGUUCCUAUGGCGAUGUAUAAUAAAGAAGCAGCUUGAGAAGUCAUUGGCUGUUAUAUUGGGCAUCAUGUCAUUUGCAAUUCUUUUAGCAGAGGCUACUAUACCACUCAGUGGUGUUGAUUUAUCCCUUUUUUCUAUCCUAAUACAUGCUGCAGCAAAUCAUGAGGUGCUUGUGCAGGUAAUAUCUGUAGAAAUGUUAUACUUAAAUAAUUUUCUUUGAAACAAGUUUUUUGUGAUAAAUUCUUUGAAACUAGUUUAUGUUCCAUAUCUUGAUUUCUUUCUGUUAAGGCUGUAUUUUUUUCUUAUAUCUUAUAAAGGUUGAACUGUAGUUAACAGUAAGUUCAGGAUUGACCUUACAUUCAAUAGAGUAAUUAACACCAUCAACAACUAGCUUCACAAAAGUGAUGUUUAUUAUGAAACAAGAAAAUUUGAUGUUGAAAGAAGUGGAAUGGAUUAAUGAACAUAAAUUAUUUUUGCCGAGGCAAAAGUCAUAGGAAGGCACAUUCUGAUGUAGUGAUGUGAAAAGAAACCUUAAACGGGUUUAAAGGCUUUCUGCUUCCAUUGCAUUAUUUUGAACUCAAAUUAUUGAUAUUACUCUAAUUUAUAUAAAUAGGCAUGAACAGCUACCAUGUUUUACACUUUGGCAUGUGUAUGUAGUACCAGUACACAAAUCACACAUCUUUCGUAUAAUUAAAAGACUUCGUUUACAUUGUCAAGUACCUACCAUGAACUGAUAUGCGGUUUGUAGGAUCGUUGAGAGAAUUUGGUAACCAUGGCGGACAACUUCUCCUAUGAAAAAAAUGCCUUUAAACUCAUUGUUUAGGCAAUAAGAUGCAAUUGCUUUUGACUGAUACAUGAAAUCAUUAUUUUUCCCAGUGUUCAUCUUGAUGUAAACUAAUUGUUGGAUUCUUUUCCCAGUUAGCUGCUUCCAUCCCUUUGAUGUAUAUGUGUAUUUGUACAUAUUUUUCCUUGUUUAAAAUGGGAAUGAUGAUGUUUUACUCACUGACACCAAGACAAACAAGCUCAGUAAGCUUGCUUAUGAUAUGCUCGUAAGUUCUUAAUUUGUUUCCUUUCUUAAUUUUAGUUAUUUGUGUGUGGUAUACUUAUUCUAAUGCAUCUCACUUUUUUCUGUAGGAUGGUUGCAAGAUAUGCACCACCUAUUUCUUAUAACUUUCUCAAUCUCAUUAAUCUUGGUGGGGAUAAAAAAACCAUUUUUGAAGAGGUCUUAUACUAUUGCCUGGUCCUUAAUUUGUUAUGCUGCAAUUAUGAUGUUGUUCAUUAAUCAUUGGUCUUCCUUGCUACUAAAAAAGAUUAAGAAUAUCAUACCUUGCUCCUAUAAAAAAUGAUUCCAACAAACUACCAUAAGAAUUAUAACAUGAGAUUUAUAAUUUGCCUCUAAAGUGAGCAAAGAUGUAAUCUCUAUACAGUGUACAUAUCAAGGUGAAUACAGUCUUACUAGCUUUAGAAACAAGCUCCAAGCAUCAUAUUAAAUUCCUCAAAGUUACCCCUUCUUAACUAUAGGUUGAUUUACUGUUGUACAAUUCAAAUUUUUGUGCAGAGGAUGGGGAACAUCGAUGAUGCUGUUCCUUUUUUUGGUGAUGGAUUCAACAAAAUCUACCCUCUCAUCAUGGUUAUAUACACUUUACUAAUAGCAAGUAAUUUUUUUAACCGGAUCAUCAAUUAUUGUGGGAAUUGGAAAAUAUUCAAGUUCAAUGAUGAUGCAGAAGAUAUGGAUGGAUUUGACACAUCUGGAGUAAUAAUCUUGCAGAAAGGUAAGUUCAAUCCUUAUUAGCUAGUCUUGUUAAAACUGAUUAAGAAUCAGACACAACUCAGUCAAUAAGGCCUUUCAUCAUUUAGCAAUAGGAUUAGAGAUUAAAACCAUAUGAACAAUUUUUUCUCCAAAAUAAGUUGUUUUCCAACUUAUUCUCUAGUUAAAUACACCAAGCGAUAUGAAAUGUAGCUCACCUCAGGUAAAACUAGACUUCCUAUUUAUGUUCAUAGAAUUUUGGAUAACCGUAGCCAUCGGCAUUCGGCAGCCAUUUGAGACCCAUAGCAUCCUAAUUUAUUACCCUACUUUUUUUUUCUCUGCAGAGCGCUCUCUUCUCCAGCAAGGACACAGAGUUGGUGAGCUUGUUUUUCCUUUAGCAAGGAGUUUCAGCAUCAGUGUGGAUCUUGAGCUUGCAAAUAGGACUACGGUACGCACCUAAAACCACACGGUUUGAACCCUUUUUUUUUUAAUCUUAGAAAGCAUGGCAAUUGUAAAACUUAUUUAAAUUCUUUGGCAUAAAUGUCACUCUCAAAUUCUUUUAUAUGAAGCUAAGAUCAAACUCCUUAACCAAGAACAGCCAUCCAAUUAUAACUCUUAUGAACAAAGAUCUGUAUAAGUAGCUUGAAAGUUGAAACUACCUGAAGGCUAGUGUUAUGUAACUUACUACAACUUCCCCUCAAACCUCACAUUCUUCUUUUUCAGGCUCUUGAUGAGAGUGGUACUGAACUUACAACAAACAACACAGUUGAGGACAAAAAUGAAGACACUGAGAUUGGAAUGAGCCGAAAAAUUGGUGGCAGAAACUACGCAGCCGUAAGGACAAACCUGAAUGAGCAGGUAUCCAGUAAAGAUAUGACACAGGAAAUAGUUUCUUCCUCCUUGACAAAUGAUGUCAAUGACUCUCAGAACACUAGUUCAGCAGCAUCAUCUUCAUUAUCCUCGAAAUGGGAAACAAUGAUGCUUGGAUUUCAAAGUUUAAGACAUAAUAUUGACACCAAUAGAUUCCUUCCUCUUGGCAAUGCUCAUGGAAGCACUCUAAAGUCACAUUCUUCAUUUGAAUCCCUUGAUGAAAUAUUUGACAGAUUAAAACAGCCGCGGCCGGAAAAUAAAGAUUCUGGUGAGUAAAAUGAUGAUGAAGUGCACUUGAGGGAAAUGGUGUCUGCCAGAUAAACUGCACCUCUAGAUUCUUAACAAUUAGAAGAUUAUAGGGAGAUUUAAUAAUCAAGUUUCCUCCUCAGAAAUAAGUGUGUGUGUUCUGAGGAGUGAUUUAUGCUGAACUACAUAAUGAGGGGAUCUUAUGACAUAGUCUUAUGAAGUGCUAUAGGGAAUACUCCAAGCAUGUUAUGGUUAUUUAAGCAGCCAUUCUGCUUGGAAAUUUUGUUUAUUGUAAAAAAGAGUUACUAUUUGAUAAUUGAUUCUCACUUUGUGUUAAAACUUCAGUAAUUUAUUAUUGUUGGUAAUACAAGUUUAAGGGAGUAGCCCAAAAAAUAGAAGAAAAAACAAGUUCAAUUGGGGUGAUGCUAGUGAUACUCCAAGUUAACUAGGAUAAUGUUAAAUGUUACUAAUUGAAAAAACUUUUAUUGGUAAAAAAUAAUUUAAAUAUUAUGAUGUUAUCUACCACAUGUAAGCAUUGAGAAUAUUUGGUCCACAUUUUUUUAUACAUACUUUUUUUCAUCAUUUUUCAUUUUAGAUACAAGUUUGCUAUGUGUUGUGCAGCACAUACAGUUAAGAUAAUAUUUCAAUUGACAUUUUUUCUAAAACACUCAUCUCUUCCUAUUAAGUAUAGGUUGCAUUCUUUGAAUUUAAAUUUAAACAUUUGGUAAAAUUAGAAUAACAUCCUACCAUUUCAUUUAUGCACUUGAAAAUUUUAUUGGUAUAUUUAGUUUCAAGAAACUAUUAAAUGUAACCCAACCCUAUUUAUGGUAGAAAAUACAUUCUAAAAUUAAAAUACUAUAAAAUCUUCCUUUAAAAGAUUCAUACACAAUUAUUAGAUCGAUACAAUCUCAUUCCUACUCAAUGGAUGCAUCUACUUUUUUUUUUCUUCCCAAAAAUACAUAAUCGAAUUCUAAAUUCCAAAGUUGACUAGGUGGGACGCAUGAAAUUUGUUUCUGGAUUGGUUGGUGGAUAAGUUGAAGCAGCAAAAGCAAAAUCCGUGACGUAAUGUAAUUGUAAGGAACUCGUCACUGUCAUUAGUUUGUUAUUGUUUUCUUACAAUUUCAAUUCCAUUAAUUCUCCCAAUUCCUUUGUUUCGCUCCAUCACCAACCAAUUUCGCUAAAACCCUAAUGGCUUCUUCUUUCACCCUUUCCUCUUCCUCCUUUUCUUCCACAUUUCCUCUCUCCCACUUUCGGUCAGCUUCAAUUCCUUCCCUUUCUCUUUCUUUUUUUCUAAUCCUAAUCUUACCUUUGCUUUUCUUUCUUUUAUCAUUUUCAUUUCCAUCAUCGAUUAAUUGUAAGGAAUUUUAAAUAUUAUUGUAGCAUAUUUAUUUACUUAUUCUUAAGUCCUAACAUCGAUUCUGCUAUAAAUAAUUGCAUCAUCAUAUUAAAGAUCUUCUGUUCAGUUCAAUUUUACUGGACUAAUCAACCUGCUUCUGUUGUUAACUUACUUCACUCCCACUUGAUAAAAAACAAUAUAUGGUGUCAUUUAAUUGAUGUAGCCGACUUUGGUGGGGAAAAAGUUUUGUUGUUAUUGUUGUCACGAUUACUUACUGCACCUUUGAUCUGUUUGUGUUUAAUGUAGGGCAUGCAAAAACUUCAAAUUGUUUAGCGGAUUGCACAGAAUAAAUUCAACUAUUACAAAUGGACAUGCGCCGGAUUUGGCAUUUAUCCGAACGAAAUCUAGAUUUGCCUCAAGCGACGGUAGAAUUAAAGCUACAUUGGCCCCUGGAGGGGACCUUCGAGGUAUUGAACCAGUUGGAGGUGAGGUACAACCUGAUGCAAUAGCAUUUGCAACAUUGGGAGCCGACACGGCGCUAGCUAGCAACGCUUUUGCUGAUGACAACGAUGAAUUUGAUUUGGACAGACCCACAGAUGGUUUUGCUUCCAUCCCAGAGGCCAUAAAAGACGUCCGGAAUGGAAAGGUUGCUACUCAGGCUAAAUCUGGAAGCGUUAUUUUUUCCCAUUAGUGCAGAGGAGACCUGUAAUGUUAAAAGUUUAUGUUUUGUGUUAAACUCGCCUUUUUGAAUUCUGAUAUUAACUGACAUAAUUAUUGUUUCAGAUGGUAGUAGUGGUAGAUGAUGAGGACAGAGAAAAUGAAGGAGACUUAAUAAUGGCGGCAGAGUUGGCAACACCUGAGGCAAUGGCUUUUAUUGUGAGGCAUGGAACUGGCAUUGUUUGUAUAAGCAUGAAAGAGGAAGAUCUGGAGAGACUGGAACUUCCUUUGAUGGUAAACAGUCGGGAUAACGAUGAGAAACUUCGAACAGCGUUCACUGUGACAGUGGUAUGUACAUUUGGUACAGACAUCUCUAUAUCUGUAGUUAGUUUUUUGUCUGUCGAAUCAAGGCCAUCCAUUGUUCCGUCAGCUAGAAAUAACACAUUUCUUCACCAUAUGAGAAAGUCAAUAUUAGAGAAUAAUUUGUUCUAUAUAAGCUGCUCUUAUAAAAUGCAUUUAGUUUGUCAAUUAUUCGGUGCAACUUUACUUUUGUUGCAUUUAAUAGCCUUUAUCACCAAGUAUUUAUGCGACAUUGGUUAUCAUUUACACGUAUGACAUCAUGCCAAAGGUGAUGGUUGAAACUUCAUCAAUCUGUCAUGUUAUGGUGGGAUUAUUUCAUAAUAUAAUUUAGGAAUUUAUUAAUGUAAUUUGCUACAUUUCAACAAUUUAUGAUGCGUUUGUAGGAUGCUAAAUAUGGUACCACCACAGGGGUGUCAGCUCAAGAUAGAGCAACAACAGUCUUAGCCCUUGCAUCCAAAGAUUCAAAGCCAGGUGAUUUCAACCGGCCCGGCCAUAUUUUCCCCUUAAAAUACAGGGAGGGUGGUGUCUUGAAGAGAGCCGGACAUACAGAAGCUUCUACUGAUCUUGCCAUACUUGCUGGUUUGAAUCCAGUGGCAGUUCUGUGUGAGAUUGUGGAUGACGAUGGUUCCAUGGCUAGAUUACCUAAACUUCGCCAGUUUGCAGAGCGUGAAAAUUUGAAAAUUGUAUCCAUUGCUGACUUAAUAAGGUUUGUGGUUGCAUUUCAUGGAAGAUAGAGAUUUUGUUAUAUGAAUAUUUAUAAUCUUUUGGCAAAACUACUCUUUUCGUCCCUUAAUUGUUUUUCUUAUUUUGGCACCUUAACUUUUUUUGUCAGAUUUUGGUUCCCCAAGUUUAUUUCUAGUCGCACCCUUGGUCCAAAUGUUGGUUUUUAGCAUAUUCUAUUAUAAUGUUAUAUUAAACCGAUCAAAAUUAGAGUAUUCUGACAGAAUAUUCUGUCAGUUUUUUUAUUUAAAUCGAUUUGAAGGAAUAUUCUAAUGGAACAUGCUAAAAACUAACAUUAUGACCAAUGGUGCAACUUGGAAUUAACUUUAGGGACCAAUUUGAGGAUAACAAAUAACAUACAGGACCAUAAUAGUGCUUUGCCUGAAAUCCUUUAUUUUUCAGAUUUUGUUUUGAAAUGCAGAUGACUUAAUUUGAAUCCCCCAUAUUGUCUCAUUCCAUGAUUUACAUUCCUAAAUCCUAACCACACAAUUAGAAAUUGAACCAAUUUGGAUUUUGUAGUACUUACUUUUGAUAUUUAUGGAUAUACUAUGAGUUGAUUAUAUCAUUAUAAUGAUUGCUUAUGAUGUAUAAAAAAGGGCAACUCAGUGCCUGACUCCCACUUGGUGGUGCCUAGGGAGUGUCAAUAUAUGUAGUCUUGGAUUUGAACCAGUGACCUCUAGGUCACAAUACAACAACCAUACAAUUGCACCAAGGCUCACUCUCCUUGCUUAUGAUGUAUAUUUGGUGUAUUUCUUAAUUUUUUACUUCUCAAUGAAUGGAUUUUUAACAUACCCUUGAGAAAAGGGAGAUCCUAUUUGUUAUAUUUCAUUUGAUUCCAUGCAUUAGAGAAGAACAAUUUUCUUUAUGAACAGUUAAGAUUUUUUCAGUUUUUAUUUUAUAUUUUCUUUCCUUACCUAAGUCUCCUUUGCCUACUUAUUUGCUGCCUGGAUACUUGUUGCUUAUUUGGGUUAAAUAGCAAGGAUAAUAACACUUAUUUCUAUGGCAGAUAUAGAAGAAAGAGAGAUAAGCUAGUAGAACGUGCUGGUGCGGCACUGAUACCAACAAUGUGGGGGCCAUUCACAGCUAACUGCUAUAGGUCACUUAUAGAUGGGAUUGAGCAUAUUGCAAUGGUUAAGGUGAUCAAUGCCUGUGCUUAUCUUGAAUUAUAUAUAUGAAGUAAUAUGUGUGAACAUUCUUCAUAGUUGAACUUGAACUGAAUUGUUUUACCUCGGUAGAGAAGAAAAAAUGUGAGCAUGGAAAGCAUACACCAGUAUGUAGAGAAAUAUGAUUUAGCUCAAUGGGCAGCCUCUUUUAUGUAAAUCAUAUAACCCUACCAAUAUUGCCUAUUUUAUAUUCUUCAGUCCUGCCUUUCCCCCUUUGGAUGAAGAAAUUGAUGUUGUCAAAUUUUUCUUUAUGGUGUUAAACUUCAAAUACAAGAGAUACAGAGGAUGGAAUGUUGUGUGUAUGUGUUUUUCUUUUAUAAAAAAAACUGUUCCUGAGUUACAUCCAUGCUAAUCUUGUAAAACAAUGAAGUGUAUUACCAUAAAGGAUGCCUUAAGAUAUCAAAAUUCUUGUAAAUUGUGUCAAGACUGCAACCCAAAAAACCUAAAAUAGUGGCUUGUUCUUUGAUAGUGAGAUGGCUUGAAAUUCCGCAGAGUGGUCCGACUGCAUAGUAUAACUCUGAUCCAAAAUUCCCUGUGCUUCCACAAAAUAAACAUGACUCAGAACUAGAACAGAGCAGGCAGAUGAAUAUUAAUGAUUUUGUCAGAAUAGAAUUAGAAAAGGUUAAGAAGAGCUUUUUCUAUCCAUCAUCCUUGAAUAGGAUCCAUCAACGGGUCAACUGUAAGUUGAGGCCACUCCAUGCCCCUGCAAGAGAUUAGAUGAAGUCUUGGGCAAUUACAGGGAUCCAGUCAUAUCUCUAGACUUGGAUGUGUUCACCAGGAAAAUAAAUCUCAUUGAUAUAAAUAAGAUGUCAUGUUACUUAUUUUCUUUUUGCCAAACACUGUCACAAGGUUUUGCCUUCUGUAGGGAUAGAUUGAAGUUUACCAUCAUUUUUUAUCACUUUGCUUUCAAGGUGUUUGUUAGCAACUAGUAAGCACACAUAAGGCUGAAGUAUUUGCAAAAUUGUAAUGAUUUUCCAAUUUUCUUGAACAUAUCCAUUUUAGCUUUUUAGAUUGCUUGAAUAAACAGUCGGCUUUUUUCCCUCUAUGUUUGUGGUUUUUAUUGUUUCUUGUGUGAAGGGUGUCAUUGGAGAUGGACAAGAUGUUCUUGUGAGGGUACAUUCAGAGUGUCUCACAGGAGACAUAUUUGGAUCUGCCAGAUGUGACUGUGGGAAUCAGCUUGCACUUGCAAUGCAACAAAUUGAGGCUGCUGGUAGAGGUGUAUUGGUAUAUCUCCGUGGACAUGAAGGCAGGGGUAUUGGAUUGGGCCACAAGCUUCGUGCGUAUAACCUACAGGACGACGGACGGGACACUGUAGAAGCCAAUGAGGAGUUGGGAUUGCCUGUUGACUCAAGGGAGUAUGGAAUUGGUGCACAGGUAAUUAUAGUGCAAAUAAAUGAUGACUUGAAUAUUGAACAUCCAUGUUUUUUCUCUUCUAAACUCAUGCUGUUUUAAGAUGAUUAUGAAAGUUAACCGGCAUGCUAUUGUCUAGUGCAAUAUAUAAAUUCCAGGUUUUUACUUACACCAUUGUGUCAUAAAGUUAGAAAUUGAUAUUUUACUUGCAGAUAUUAAGGGACUUGGGUGUUCGUUCUAUGAAGCUAAUGACAAACAAUCCGACAAAAUAUGUUGGGCUCAAAGGGUAUGGGUUAACAAUUUCUGGUAGGAUCCCAUUGGUAACACUUAUCACCAAGGAGAAUAAGAGAUACCUUGAGACCAAACGUGUGAAAAUGGGCCACAUGUAUGGCUUGGAAUUUAACAACCAACUGAGCUAUGAUGGCAGUGGAAAUGGAAAAGCAAGUGGUGGUGAUGAUUCUAAUGCAGUUACUGGCAUAUAAACUUUUGCCUUUUCCCACCAGAUACACAAUUUUAUGUCACAUAGAAAAGAAGGGAAGUGCAGAUUUCAAUACUGCAGAUGGACAUAAGAAGAGAAAAAUUCGUGAUUCUACACUCAAUUUAAAUUUUCUAUUUCAUAUGCCUUAUUUUUCUCCAGGCGCUCUGCUAAAUUAGGCUUUCUCAAACAUUCUUUUCUUGCUCUGAAACUUUAUCUAGUACUCCUUGUCUUAUCAAAUAUAAGCAAAAUUUGAGUAUUUCAAUGUUGUCCAAUAUAAGGACUGUGUAGUUUUGUGCUGAAAGUACCGUUAUUAAAUUUUUACACUUAUUUUUUUUAAUGUGUAGUCCCUUUUGUUUUCAAGUGACUUUUCUCAUGUAAUUAUUGUGCAAUAGAUAUUAAGGAGAGGUAAUUUAGUAAUUUUAAUACUUUUGAUAUUUUUUGAGAAUCUGAUGAUUUUGUUAAAGGAUGUGCAUUGCCAUUCUUUGUUUAUAUACAUAAAGGGAGGGAAUACUGUGUAUAAUAGAUGAGGACUUGAGUAUUGCUUUUCUUUUGUGGAGAUUCAUACAUUAUAUGGUGGUGUAGAGGUUGAUUAUUUGUGGGUGCUUUUGUAUACGGUAGUAAAAUCAAGGUGGUAUGUGGAUUAUAAAGUGUUGGUAAUUAUUCAUUCUAGUUGCCUAUAUAGGUAUUGUGAUGGUAGUACUAUUUCGUGGUUUGAGGCUAAAUAAUGUUCAUGACAACAACUUAUAUACCUGGAAGUUAGUUCGCAUCUGAACAAACUAUUUGGACAGUCGUUGGAUAGAAAUGAUAUUAAUUUGAACUGUUAAAUUUGUCAUCGAUUACUCCUUACAUUUAAAAGUUGAUAUGGUACAGGACGACUUAAAUAUAGUACAGAAGUCGGUUUGGACAGGUACAACUUUUGUGUUGAAGUCGUUAUGACAACAAAUAAGUUUGAAGUCAUUAUUAGGAAAAAAUAACUAGGAAACAAAAUGUGUUAUAGCUCAUUUAGUAAAAAAUAACUUAGUACCAAAAAGAACCUAGGUCCAGUUCUCUCCUUGUUCAUUUUUUCAUAUUUUUCAUUUAGUUUAAUAACAUAUAUUAAAUUGUAAGCCAAAUUAAACGAGCUAUAUUGUAGCUCAGUGGUAGAAGUAGUUGAAAUUUCUCCUUCAAAUUACAUAUUUUUAAUUUACUAAUAAUAACUAUGAUUAUAGAAUGAGAUUUUUUGAAAAAUGAAAAAUAAAAUAAAAAUUGUGCAACAUGAAGUAGGAAGGAGUUGGACUUGGGUUCUCCUUAUACUUAAGUUGUCGUUUACUAAAUGGAAAUUUAAUAUUUCCUAAAGUUGUUUUUAAUGAUAACAACUUCCUGAAGUCGAUUUCUCUUAUACCGUUUUCUAUACUGAAGUUGUUUUCUCAUGCCAACUUUUAUACUGAAAUCAUAUAAUGUCAUCGAUAACUUCUGAAAAAUGUACAAAAUAGUAAUUGGUAGUCAAAUUUUUUUCAUCCAACAACUAUAAAACAGUUAGCUUCCAAACAAACUAAAUUACAACUCACAUAUUAGCCUUGGAUAUAGAGGGGAGCAGAGUUCAAUGAACAAAACGUUUGGUUGUUCCGUUGAAGUUCCAUCCCCUUCAUUUUGGGUUCAUAUCAUAGAGUUGAAGAGUACAUCUUAUUUCCGGUGACAUGUGUCAUAUCAUAUGUUAUAAAUUGUGAUUCAUCCUAAAAUACUUGGUAAUUAAAUUUUAAGUUAAAUAAUUUUUUUAACUAAUCAAUUUAUAACACAUAAAGUUAUACACAUUGUUGGACUGAAGAUAUAAUCUCUACGAGAUUAUGGGUAUGAAUAGCCUGGCUUUAAUAAGUUCCUCAAAUUUGUUAUUAAAAUUAUUGUUAAUUAAUUAUUUAUUCAGAGUAAAUUAUAUGAAUACUAAUAAGAUUUAAUGAAACUUCAAAAAAUAUCUUCUCUUCUUCACCACGGACCUCCCCUUAAAUUAGGUGUAGGUGAAUGUAAUAAGUUAGAAAAAAUGAUGAAUAUAAUAAGUUAAAUAAGCAAAUUAACAAAUAGUCAAAAAUACUUAGAUAAAUUAAUGUAUCGGAAACUCACUGGAUUUUGGUGGGACUGCAUCAUUUCAUGAUAACACUUUUCCAAAUUCAUAAUAAUUCUUCCAGACUCAAUGAACCAAGAACAUUAUCUUUAAAGGCAAUAUUCCAAAUGCUCUCUCUAUCUGGUUUCAGCAAUAGCGACCAACCUGGCAUAUACUGUAAUAAUAACUAUGCAACUUUUGGCACCAAAAGCCAACAUACUUAUUACUUAAAACAAAAUUAAUAUGUUUUGUGUAGGUCACUUCACACGGAAAUGAACUGUCAUAGAUAAUUAUAGUAAAGAAUAGAAAUUGAAAAUUAGUAAAAUUAUUAUUAAAUAAUACUCCUUCAUCCUUCUUAUAAAAGGUAACCUUUGGGAGAUUUUGAUAGUCAUUCUAGAAAACUUGAUAUUUAUUUUUUUUACCAAUUUAUUGAUGAGAUAUAAUAAAUUUGCUAAUAUUUUUUCAAGGAAAUUUGUAAAAAAAAAUGAACUUCUCUUAAUAUAUAUAUAAUUUAAUUCGGUAAAAAAUGUCGAGUCCUUUACAGAUAUAUAUAACAUUAAUUUAUGGAAACAAUAAAUUUGAUGUUGAAAAUUAUUGCCCGACAUAUUCUAUGCUUCACAAUAAGAACGUCGUUAAUUGACCUUAAAGAUUUUAUUCGGAAACAAUUUGACCUUUUGAGAGUUAAGAUAAAAUCAAAUUUUGAGAGUUAAGAUAAAAGGCAUCAAAAUUAAAUAGUCUUAAAGAUUGUUUUUAGAAAAACUAGUCCUCAAUUUAUUUUAUGUGAUACACUAAAUCUUUUGACUAAUUAAAUUGAUUGAAAAUAAAAUUACAAGUACUGAUUUGUCUCAUGAAAAAAUCUCCUUGUAUUACUUGAUUGCAGAAUUAAUUUGUCUUAAAAAGGAAAUAAUGUGAUAUUUUUUUAGAUAUUAAUUUGGGUCAAACAAUAUACCAUGAACACUUAUUUGAUAGAUUUUGUUAAUUGGGACACUUAUUAAAGAGUCGAAUAAAAAAUAAUCUAUACAAAUUUUCCACAUAACUGUUUCUUUACGUCUCACGCCUAUUUUUUUUGUUGUAAUAAAGAUAUAAUCUUAUAUGUAUAGUAAAAGAAUAUAAAAGUUAUAAAAUAUUUUUAUACUUAUUCCUAUUUCUAAUGUCUUUUUUUUUUAUCGGCAAAUGUUAGUAUGUUAAUUGUUAAUAUGUUAGUAUUUUGUUGUGAGUAAGACUCCACUUCAACUUCCUACACCCUACCAUCAAACCACCCUUAUAACUCCCAUUUUUAAGGAUGGUGGGACUCGAACCCACAACCUCCUACACUCCAUUCCUUACGACCACUCUCUUCACCAUCAGACCACUUUAUGACUCCCCUAUUUCUAAUGUCUAACCCAUAUCAAAUGCUUUAUAUAGCCUAUCUUUUAGAGGAAAUGAAUAUAAAUGUCAGAAAUUAUUAUAAGGUUAUAUAUACUUCUACAUUUGUGGGUAAAUUGUGACAUUGAGCUAAUGCUCUAGACAUGAUGAAACUUUUUUAAAGGUGACUUGGUUGGCAUGGAACAUUUGGCAUUUCCUUUAUUCAAUUUAAAAAUUAAGCAAUUCAAAUAAAAAAAGAGAGAGAAGAUUGAACUACACACUUAUACUAUUAAACUGAAGAUGAGAAGAUCAUAAAUUUAGAACAUUGAGUUGUGAAUUUAUGAAUUACCACUUUACCAAUGAGUCAGAAUUUUAUCCUAGAAUUAAUUUUCAAGUAGUUCAAUUUACGUACUUAUUUAUUAUAAUCUUAAAUAAACAUUUCUAGUUUCUAUUCAACGGUUAGAAGAAAGAAAGACGCGUGGUCCCUCCCUCCACGUUAGUCCGAACAAUUUGGUACCGUCCCUCAGUAUCAUGCCCAAACAAAUCAAUAUAUGUAAGAGUAAAUAUUCAUUUUAGUCUAUCAUAUUUUUUAAUUUUAUAAGUUUAGUUUUUUAAAAAAAUACCUAAAAUGAUUCUAACUUUUAUAAAUUUGUGUUAAAUUAAUCAACUUUAAUAUAAAUGACUAAAAUUAAUAUUUACUCUAUAUUCUAUUACCAAAUCUUUAUAUUGAGAAAAGAAAAGUGAUAUAUAAAUCAUUCUACUCACAAAAGAAAAUAAAUGCAAAUAAAAAAAAAUAUAUAUUCUAAUUCUAAAUAUUUGAACUAGUUUUUUUUUACCAUGUUAAUUAUUUUUUAAGGCGCACGAGCAAUAAAGAUUUGCAAAAAGAUUGAAAAGAUGAUAUAUAAUUUUAAAAAAUCUCACAUACUAAAAAGGGUAAUACUAAAUAUUCAUACAAAUCUUUUUAUGCGUGACAUAUAUAAUUUUAUGAUACAUGUUAAUUAUUUUCUUAUGUUGCAGGAGCAAUAAAGAUUUGAAAAAAGAUUUAUAAAAUGAUAUAUAGUUUUCAAAAAUCUCACAUACUAUUAAUAUAAUAAUCAAUAUUCAAUACACCCGAAUAUUUACAUGUAUCUUUCUUUUUAUUUGACAUAUUAUUCGACCGUUAAGACUUGCCGUAUCAACUAUUUAUUAACGGUCAAAGAUUUACAACUUUCAAACCACAUGUACGGUCAUGAUUAAAAGACAGCUGUACCAGCUUGGACUCAAACACCACUCUCUACGCGUGUCGUAUUACUUUACCUUCUUACAUAUCGUAGUAUCAAUAUUAACCGUUAGAUUAACCUUUAUAAACAUUAAAACGCAUCAACGGCUCACAACGAGUCGCUUUGUUUUCACGCGCUAACCGUUCUAUAAAUACCAUUCCAAACCCUAAUACCUCUUCACACCACUAAAUUCCAAGUAUUAAGUUUUUUAUCUUUAGAAACCUCUCAAACCUUUUUGCUGAUUCUAAACAAUGGCCAGUUCCACCGUUAUUCUGAUGCUUGUUGCUGCAUUGUUGGUUAGCGCCACCGUGGCUCGGUCUCCGUUACCUUCUCCCGCUGCUGCUCCUACAACUCCAAAAACUCCUUCUCCGGCGGCUUCUCCAACUGCUAACUCACCGGCGGUGUCUCCUCCUACUCCGGUUGUGAGCGGUCCUUCACCUUCACCUUCCGCCGUUGUAAACUCUCCUCCAUCUCCUCCUCCUGCUACGUCUAACUCUCCCGCUAGUACACCUUCCGCUGCCACCCCGUCAUCGAUUUCUGAUACUCCAUCUUCAACUCCGGGUGAAGCACCAAGCCAAAACGGCGCCGCGUCGAACAGAUUCGCUUUCGCUGGAUCUGUUGCUGUUGUAGGUUUCGCUGUUGCUUUAAUGAUAUAGAGAGAGUUACUUAUGUUUUUUAGUUUUAUCUUUAUUUUAUUAUUAUUAUUAUCACGAAUUACGAUUUCAUGUCAUGAAUCGUUGGCUCGUGUAGUUCAAUUUUUUGGUUUUAUGUCUUCACGGUGUGGCGACUCAUUCUUUUGAUUAUUUUGUGAAUCUUAUUUAUAAUUUACUAGAUUGAAGGUUUCCUCCUCCAUCUCCUCCUCCUGCUACGUCUAACUCUCCCGCUAGUACACCUUCCGCUGCCACCCCGUCAUCGAUUUCUGAUACUCCAUCUUCAACUCCGGGUGAAGCACCAAGCCAAAACGGCGCCGCGUCGAACAGAUUCGCUUUCGCUGGAUCUGUUGCUGUUGUAGGUUUCGCUGUUGCUUUAAUGAUAUAGAGAGAGUUACUUAUGUUUUUUAGUUUUAUCUUUAUUUUAUUAUUAUUAUUAUCACGAAUUACGAUUUCAUGUCAUGAAUCGUUGGCUCGUGUAGUUCAAUUUUUUGGUUUUAUGUCUUCACGGUGUGGCGACUCAUUCUUUUGAUUAUUUUGUGAAUCUUAUUUAUAAUUUACUAGAUUGAAGGUUUCUUUUUUAUUCUUCAGUUAUCUCUGAUCUAUUGUUGUCUUUUUUUGGUUCUUUAAAGUUGUAAUAUGGAUAUGAUGAUGACCUAAAUCGUUAAUGUGUUUUCAAUCAUAAUUUGGCUAAUAAUUUUCUAACAGAAGUAAGAAUUAUUUAAAAUUUAACAAUCAAUGGUUUAUUUGAUCAAGACUUGGC
rnacentral:lncRNA from 1 species